CCCUCAGCUUUUUUAUGCUUUUGUUAAGCUUCUCACGCUUUACUGCCACUGCCGGCGACUCCUCCAGCAUCCUCUCGAUUCCCCCGCCGUAUGGUCCCAUCAACUCAUUCACAAUCUCAGCUUCCAACUCUUUGUUCACAAGCUUAAAGACAGACAGCUGCAAGUGCAAUGCCAUGGAGUCCACAAGCCUCCUCAAAACAACCUUCCAAUAGGCAAUCAUUCUCAUUUUAAGGUCAUAAGCUUGACCUAACACAAGCGGGUACAUCCUCAGACAACCGACUUCCACUUCCCCGAUGCCUUCUAUAUCUAUGAUAGAAGGUUUCUUCUCAUCAGCUAAGACUCCAUGAAUGAAUUCAUUUUGAUUAGCCAUCAACUUGUUCCAUUCGGAAACAUAAUCACCAUCACAUGUAUAAUCUGUCAGCUUUUCCAUCUCUACAAGCUCCAGCAUCCACUUGAUUGACCUUUCCUUCAUCUUGGCCAUUAGAUUAUGGCCGGCACGCCUUGCUGACAGCUGCAGCUGAUGAUAGUUCUCCGUAUAAUGCAUCAACACAGAAAUAACCACCUCUUCAAUGUAGCUCCACACUUUUUCCACAAAUGCUAUCGGAAUACUCGAAAUUUCAUCCACUUUUCCCUGCAAGAUACUGAGGAAAGCAUUGCGUGGAAGAAAAUUUGGAAGUGAAAUACCUUUGGCCUUCUCCAAGAUCUUGAUCUCCUUCAUCAAGAAGUUGCUCUUUGCAUCAGUUUCAGCACAUCUGUGAAGUUCAUCAGAGUACAGGUUGACCAAUCUAGCAGUGCAGUGCAUGCUGUCUUCUGCGUACUCGUCAAAUUCUCCUCUCAAAAGAAUCUUCCUAAGCGAUUCCUUAGCCAAGCCAAUGAUUUGCAUAAAGGCCGUCAUGGCCUCGGCAACAGAUGAAAGACUCUUUGGCAUUUUAUUCAGUUCCAUAAUGCAGAAGUUCAGCCUGUCAUUGAUCUUCUUCACUAUAUCGGGUAUAUUUCUUGCUAUGCUGUUUGCUUGAAUUUGGACCAGCUUCUGUGCUAAAACUGGAAUACCGACAAUGGACUUGUCAAUCUUCGAAAGCAGGGGAUGGGUUUGAAAUAGUUCAUGAGCCAUCGCCGCUGCCUCCUCAUAAGUUUCGUCACCAAUCCUGUUCCUUACACAGACAUAACCAAGACCAAUGUUUACAUCAUCUCCGGUGACCUUCUCAAGUAGUCCUUCCGGUGCCUUGUCCACUUUCGUAACCACAGCGAGCGUCCUCUCACCAGUUUUAUCUACACUUUGUGACAUCCGAAUUGACUCACACGUAGUAAAAUCCACCGUAGCAGACAAUACAUUCAGAAUAAUACUUUCUUCCGGCUUAAUAUACUCCAUGAUCAUAUCUUUGAUCUGAUCAUAAAUAUUUUCAGGUUGGCCAUGGACCGGAACCCUUGUGAUUCCCGGAAGAUCAACCAUAGUCAGAUCCGGAACCCCAUUCUUCUUCACCAACAAAUUAAGUGGCGUGUUCGAAAUUCCCUUACCUCCUCCCGCAAUAGAAUUAGUAGCUUUCACAAUAUCUUUGGCGAUAUUGUCUUCAUCAGUACGAUCAACUCUGCCAUUGUACUCCAAGGAAAGUUCAGGCUGAGGACUCGAGUGGUGUUCCAGCCUCAUAAUAAGAGGCACUCUCCUGCAGAUGCCUUGGCCCCGAGGGAGGCUGAUGCCGGCCAAGGAUUCGAGCACGCUGGACUUCCCCGAUGACUGGUCUCCGACCACCACAAUCGUUGGCAGCUGAAUGCCUUCAUCCAUCACCAUCAAGCUGCGUAACUUGUCUACCGCAUCCAGAAGAGGGCGGAUCUUGUCGUUGUAGGACGACACAAUGGGUGCGCAUUUGAGAGGUACUGCGUCUAGUUCUGCCUGAACCAUGGCGAGGGAGCCUUCACCGUUUAAAUCUGUGCAACUCGAUUCCAUUUGCCUUGGUCCUUCCGUUUCUGAAUUAUAGCAAGUGAAAAUAAUGGUGAAAAAUCUAGAGAGAAACCGAGAUAAUUUCAAGCUUAGCUAAAGAAUUGAGGUUCUCUGGCAGCUUACCCUCCAGUUGAGAACCUUUUUUUACUAAGAAUGAUUUCAGGUAAGGGAAAACACCACUUUCGUGACCCUGUAGGAAACGAAGCCUUUCCUUCCAAUGCUGCAUUUCCACAAACUCAAGAGACUCUAAUACCCCAAAAGGCAAGUUACGCUCUCCAUAAAACUCAGCACCAAUUCGAAGAUGGAGUAAAAUGUUCUGUAUUGAGUUUAUGACUUAAUGGAGUAAACUGUUCUAUUUAUAGCUACUGCUAUAUAUCAUUCUUAGCCUUUAAGCAACUUAACUGACUCUCAAUCAACAAUAACAACACAUCUAAUAAAAAUGCUACUUUAUUUGUACCAUCAUUUGCUUACACUGAUAAAUAGCACUCAUACUCAUAAGCUGACAUGGCAGCCACAUCACUUAAAGUAAGAAGAUUACUUGUCAGAGAAGAUAUCAGUCAGGAAGAAGUGAGAAAGCUGGUUUUAGUAAGUGCCUUAGGCUUAAAGGCUUCUGGUAGUACGUAUACUUGUUCAGCAUAACCUAUCGAAGUAAAUGACAACCAGCCGUUUCAAAACCGCAUGCUGAGAGAGUUGUGAUUUGGACUUCCAAACGUUUAGCAAACCACACCUCAUGCGAGCCUUUGAACCCUAAUCAGUGUAAAUGUAAUAUGGACAGUUAACUGAUGACCAUUUUUUGUGCUUGAUGCUCUUGGACUUCAAUCAACCUUUAUAUAUUAUUCAUUCAAAUAAUCGAUCACAAGCUAGCCAAUGUAAGUUGUAACCCAACAGAGACGAGAUGUUGAAGAAAAUUAUAUAUUUUUUGUACUAUGGUAAGAAAACUAAGGCACCCAUUAGAGAAAGAGAAGUGCUAGCAGCCUUUGCACUAAUAUUUGUAUUUGGACCCUUUCAGUUUAACAAAUAACACAUUAUUUUCUAUACAAAAAAAAAAAAGCAAGAAUUUUGUCUAGGAAUUAACGAUGAGAAAUUGAAUCUAACAACCAAAAUUAAAGUUAACAAAAAAAAAUAGAGAACUUAAUUCUUAUCGAAUCGAAUCUACCUUUAUGAUCGUGCUCCAGAGAAAUUGAAAAGAAUGGAGGGUUUUUGAAUUUGGUAUUUUUUGUGUGGAGAAAAAUGAAACAGAAAGAGCCUUUGAAGAUUCCUUUUUGAGUUUUCACAUUAGGAAUUGGAUAUGCUCCCAAUUUUAGUGUCCGGAGCAUGUCCAUCAAUCGAUUUGGGUUGCUAAUUUGUGUGCAAAAGAAAUCAAAGUCGUUCAUUGUGUGUGGUGGGUCAGGAAAAUAAAUUAAAGGAGGCCGUUAGAUUCAAUUUGUGUGGCCCAAAUUGGUUGAUGCACAUGCUCCAGAAACUAAGGUCUGGAGCGGAUCCAAUUCCUUCACAUUGUGGAAUUUUGUUUCACUUUUACCAUUGUAAGACCAUAGAUCAUGGAUGCUGACAUGGUUGGAUAGGUGUCAAAUGAUGGUGUCCUUGGGGUCUCCACUGUGUCAAAGAAAAAGUAGUCCCCAUGGGCAUCCGAGCGGAAAGAGAACCCACGAUAGUAUAAAGAUUUUGCAUCACACUCAUAGCUUUGACAUCAAUCCUUUUCCCCUCCUUGCCGAUGUUCUUUAUAUUUUACUUUCUUUCUUGAUAAGUUGUUUGUAGAUGACAUUUUCUGAGAAUCUCUUGGGUGUCGUAUGCGUGCUACAUCACUCGUUUGUGUCAAAAUAUAUAUAAACAUUAUUUCUUUCAAUUGAUAUUUAAAAUUAAAAGUCUACAGACACUUUUUGGGUGAACUUGAAUUAAGGAAUUCUCAUUUUAUGUGUUAAGUUUUAUGCGGAUGAGUUACGUGGUACAAAUUCAAGAAUUACUCUACAUUUUAAGCUGUUUUUUUAAACAUUUAUAAGCACAUAUAACUGAACUAGAACGCCACAUGACAAUAAAUGAAUUUUAUAUAAAUCAUUGUUACUUGGAGACUAAGAUUAUGACACCAUUAAAUAUUACAUUGUUUUGCAAGAAAAAAGAGAACAUGGGAAAGAUAACAGGACCAAAACAAUUGAGACUACAAUUUAGGACAUAUUGUACCACAUCUUAAAAAAAAAAGUGGAAUUUACUUAUAUUAUGAAACCUACUAGUAUUAAAUGGUUUACAAUGUAAUUUACUAAAGUAUAACCUCUCUAGCUGAUAAGCCUAUGAGUAAUUAGCGUUUGUAGACAUCAAAUGCUAAUGAGAAAAAAAAAAAUCUAAUUUCAUCCUAUCCACCUCUAUUAUAAAAUUUAUGUUUCAAUGCAUAUACUAACGAUCAAAAUUCAAAUUUCAAUUGUAGAACUGAACCAAAUUAUUGGUAACAAAGCGAUAAUAUAACGAUCAAAACUCAAAGAACUCAUGCCCCGAGUCUAUCAAUAUUUAUUAAAUCCAAAUGUUGUCAACUAUUGGUCUAGUGGUAACUCGUCUUAAUUUUUUACAAGCGAAAAUUCUAGAGUACAUCAACUUAUAACAUAAAUUACAAAAUUUAACGGUUAAUAUGUGUUCAAGAAAUCAAAGAAAUCUAAGAUGUAUCAUUUAUGAAUAUGGUCUACAUGCGAAAUUAUCCUCAAAGAUCAUUGUUGGACAUCAAUGACGGAAGAAAAUCGACAAGUGCUUUGAAUAUGCUCGACAACGACUCUCAACUAUGUACACUCACGAGCAGCCUUAUAGAGGGCAAGUAUCCUUGACAUAAUUCGAAGACGUAGUAACUAAAGCAUGCUUAGCAGACCUCCAAGAAAUUGUGGUUCCACCAACAACACCCAUUUGGGAUCUUGCCGUGUGCAGAUUGAAUAAGUACCCAUCAUCAACAUAACCAACAAAUGGAACUCGAGAACUGGGGUGGGGGGGGGGGUGGUGUGGGAUGGUUGCACUCGAAGUUGAGUAGGGAUGGAACAAGCCCAGGUCAACAGUACCAUUAAGAUAACAUAGAAUUUCUUUAACACCUUUCAAUGUCUGCGUGUUGGCACAUGAUUGUGUCGUGCUAAGUGAUUCAUAAUGUAGGAAAUGUUAGGUCUUGUACACUGAGAUAAGUACAACAAAGCACCAAUUGCACUUAAGUAUGGAACCUUGGGUUCUAAAACCUCUUCAUCAUCUAUCUUUGGAUAUUAUAAGUCUCGUUGUGCAUUGAUGAGUCCAUAUUGUACUAUAUAUUUUACCCUAAUCUUAGUUACAAUUUUUUGGUUAUUUUGGUGAAGUUUUGAUACUUUGGUUUAUAUUUUUAAUGUAGAACAUUUGAAUUCCUCUUGAGCAUAAAGUGAUCAAACAGACAAAUUUUGGAGCAAUUCCAACUGAAGGAUGUUCGUGAGUCUUUCAAGAUGAUUAUGUCAAAAUUCUAGAUUUUUUUACCAAGCCAUUUGACCGUGGCCAUGAUAAGAAUGCCCAGCGCGCAGUUUUUCUAGAUUGACAUUUCUGGACGUUUUGGGUAUUUUGAAGGUUAAUAUGGCAUAUUUUAAGGAAGAUUCAAUCUGAAGAUUUGUAAAUGACGUCUCAAACUUUUAAAAAAAACCUUUUGGGACCAAAUCGGAGUUGAUUUAAUUAGUCAAAAGUUUGAUUUUCUAAGAAGUCCGAAUUUCAGUUCAAAUAGGAAAUCUUUUAUUUCCUAGUCAUCUUAUUCUAUUAUGUUUCCUAGUUUUUAGAAGACCUUUUCUAAGUAGGAUUUUAUUUUGUCGUAGUACAAAUAAGGCUAUUUAGCUAUUAGGAGGGGAAGGCAUCAAUUUGGAGAACUUAGCUAGGCUUUGACGAUUUGUAUUUCAAGGUGUUUUAUAUCAUUUUUCUAUUUCAAUAAAAUUCCUUUUGUUUUAUGGUUGUUGGUAACUAAUUUCCGUUUGUUCGGGUGAUGCCUUGAGCCUUAGCAUGAAUAUGUAGUUAAUUUAAUUGCUUAUGAUAUUAUGCAUACUUUGAAUUAUCAAUCACUGUACUUUAAACUGUAUUUGUGUCUUAAUGAUUCAUGACCAUUAGGAUGAUUAGAUAAGUAAUUGGAUGCAAUUCGGUCGGAAUACCACCAGGGAAUUGAGUAUUGCUUCUUGUGAUUGAUAGUUGUAAUUUCACCUAGAGCAAAUACCAUGUCUUAGGGGUUGCAUGGUUUUUUCAAGGGGUUUUAACAAAGCGUAAUGAGUCAUGCAUGUUUAUAUUUGAUCUGAAUACCACAGACAGAUUGCAUGUUUGAUAUACAUUCUAGCUUGAAUACCACGAGUAGAAUAUACAUUAGGAAAACCUAACCUUCAAAGUUGCAUGGGUAAUUCGUAAGUAAUUAGUAAAUCUACAUAGGAUUGUUCAGGGGAUGGCUGAAUCUUAGUGCUUUUCUAAAUUUAUUUCUUAAAACCUUUUCUUUUUUAUCUGAUUUCUUCUUAAUUGGUUACUAGUAGUUUUGUGACAACCCGUCCCGAAUUUGUAUGUAUUUUAAUCCCCGAGUGUGUAAAAUGACGGAAAUGCCCUCGAGGCUUAGUGACGUGGAUGUACAUAGAUAGUUUUAAAUUAUUUUUCUCGCUGUCAUAAUUAAAUCAUACACGACGCCACGAGCGCAUUGACGCGAAUUAGGGUUGAAUCGGAUUCGUAACGAAAAUGUUACAAACGAAUAGGUGUAAAUGAAUAAGUUUGGAUUUAUACCUAACCCACCAAUCAUAUUACUUCCUACAAUCUUGGACCCAAUUAAUUGUUUGGGUUAGCUUUAUUUCUUUUUGGACCCUAAAACCCACCAUCUCUUCUUGCCCAAUCCGGAGGUGCGCGCGCGCGCACACACACACACACACACACUAAAAAUAUCUCAUUUCUCUCCUUGGUGACCAAUCACACACACACACUAAAAAUCUCUCAUUUCUCUCCUUGGUGACCAAUCAGACGCACACACACACACAACCUCAUCUCAUCUCCUUCAUCUUCUCGAACUCUCUCAUUCGUCUGUACACCGUACGAACACCAUUCACAAAUCCACCAAAAACUUCACGGAUCAAGUAUUUGAACACCACUAUCACCUUUCCAGUGAUCUCAUGAGCGAAACUCUGAGAACCCAGAGCUUCGGCGAGGUACUCUAUUACUCUAAUGUGAUUAUGGACAUUUCAUGAGAUUUUGAGGCUUAAAUAGGGUCUUAAUCAACUCUAUAAGGAUCCUAGGCUAGUUUUGGACUGGUUUGAACGUCAGAAUCCUCGAGAUCACGGAGUUGCAGUUUUGGCUGGUUGUGUCGAGCUAUUUUCUGUCCAUUUCUCGAAGGUUUUAGGUUCCUAAAUAGGUAAGGACUUGUUCUCCUUGUUGAGAGCUUCAAUUCCAUAUAAACUUUAAGAAUUUUGGUUGAGUUUUGAAGAAGAUAUGAAUAUUUUAAAAUUUCCCAGUUUCCGGCGAGUUCAGACGGCGGCGGAGGACAACGGAUUCCGUCGAAGUUCACCGUUGAAGACAGAGAAUAUUCCGUGAACUUUAACGGAAUAUUCUAACGGCGUCAGGUAACUUUAACGGAAUAUUCUAGGAUUUUAACGAAAUAUUCCCUAACGCUGUUAGGGUUUCCGUAGUUGUAUCAAACACGUGCCUGCGCGUGGGACAUCAGAAAAUUGUUCUAAAAAUAUGGGGAUGUUCGUGGUGUUAAGUAGCCCACGAUGAUAUAUUCAAACACUCAAAUUGAGCAACGCAUGAGAAAUUAUUACACGGUUUUGGUUAUGUACUUUCAAAUUAACAUUUAAUCAGUUGUUUCACAUAUGGGUGAGACGUUUUCGGAGGACGAGUGUAGCCAGGUAGGACUUGGGGGCUACGACCCUGCUACAUACCAGUGAGUGGGCUUUUGGUUUUCUAUAUAUACGUAUAUAUGCUUUACUUUUUCUUAGAAACUUUUUAAAAUGGAUUCACGUUUUUUAAAUGCCAUGUCAAUUGCAUCACAUUUUAGUAUAUGCAUUAGUAUAGAUAUGCAUAAUGUUGCAUGACACUGCGGACGCCCAGGUAAGCUUCAGGUGAGUACAUAUUGAUGAUAGAGAUGGCAACGUGUAUGGUUAUGUUUAGAUAUAUUUAGUGCUCAUUAUCUUGCACCUCGGUAUUAGUGCUCCACUCGAGGCCAGGGCCUAGCGUUCACGUGAUUGUUCGCCUCCCUUACCACACGCUCACCUUGGAUCUAAUGCAGGUGCCAGCCUGUUGUACAGACCACAUUAGGUGGUUCCGACUCGUAGGUGCCUUGCGAUAUUUCGCACAGCCUUCACGUGAUCGUAGCACUUGAACGUACUUAUUCACACCCAGCCUGUCGUACAUACCACAUUAGGUGGUUCUGAAUCGUGUGCAGGAAUUGGUAGAUGAGCUAUAGGUUUAGCCAUACAGGUCACGUUAGGUGACUCCCGCUGCCAUAUCACUUUACAUUGUUUCACAUCACCUGGCUUAUAUAUUUUAUUACUAAGAUACUUGACAUGGCAUAUACUCGGUUUUCACCGAUCUCGAGUAUGAUUUCUAUAUAUGUAUGUAUUAUUAUUUUCUAGGAAAUUAUACGGGUUUUACGGUGAGGGGUUAUUAUGUUUAAAAAGAGAAAUGUGUUUUCAAAACUUUGCUUUUGCCCACUCACAAUUUCUGUUUUGUGCCCUCUAGGUUCUAGCUAGAAGUUUUUGUUGGUGGCUCAUGAGGACUCUACGACGGUUCUGACAGCCUUGCAAUAAUGUAGGAACUUUCUUUCACGUUCUGUAUAAUUAAUACUUAACUUACUAGACUGCACUUAGGUUACCUAUGCUCUGAGUAUUGUAUUUCCCACUUUAAACACUUUCACACACUUACAUACUACUCUAGUGUAACUUAGUUAGUUUUAGUUUUUAAUUACCCACAUUUCAAAUCACUAUCACUUCCGCAUUGCGCACAUGGCUACAUCACCCUCACGUGACGACCAACAUGCCUCGAUUCAGGUCGAGGUGUGUCAUGUUUUUCCUAAAUUAAUUUUAUUAAAUUCGUUUUUAUUAUAUUUAAAUUCAAAAUCAAAAUUUUUGAAUCCUUGUUUUUAGAUAAUUAACUAAGAUUUUGGUUUUGCAUAAAUUGUUUUAAAUAAUCCUUGUGGAAACGAUCUUGCUUGAACCGUUUAUACUACAAUUACCUUAUUCUCUUGCAAGUAUUUUGUGUGAUUAUAACCUCUUUACAUAGGUACUAAAAAUCCUAUCAUGCAUCAAGUGUACGGGUGGCCAUGAGAGUACUCAAAGGCAACACUUUAUCAUUAAAGCAAUGUAACACCGUCUUGGUGUUGUUUGACUGAUGGACCAGAAUUUUGGAUUGUGAACUACCUUAGUACAUAUGUGCAGAAGUGUGGCGGGUGACGUAAACAUAAAUAAUCAUUUUAACAUGCAUGUUAAUGGAAUGUUGGAUUCCGUUUAAUCAUAUUAAAUUAAUUUAUGUAUUGAUUAUCUUCAGGUAUAAUAAACCACAAAUGUGUGUUGCACGCCCUAGGGAAAUUUUUGAGAAACUUUUGGGUUCACUAGUCUGUAUCACGCCACUUGCUCGUCUAAAAAAGAGAUUCUUUCACGUCACCAGUUUACCAUGCUACAAUUUUGAAUUUAUUAGAUGGAUAAUACAUUUUGUUUAAUAAAUGACCAACUUUACAAAUAUUUUUGUGAAGUGAUUUCACACAUAUUUUUUAGCUUUUUACACACCCAUGUUUAAUUUUGGAUGUUGAUUCUGUUUGAUUUAUUCAAUCUGAUGGCCAUAAAUAAAGAGAGGUAUGUGAGGAACUAAAAAUGGUGUGUGAAAAUCCAUGACACUGCUGAGCAUGAAUUUUAGUUAGAUGAAAAAAAACCUUACGCCUGAUACAAGUGGGAGGACAUGACAUGAUUGCCUUUAUUCAAGGAUGAGGAAUGCUAAGGUGACUAUCAAGAGUAGGACUCUCCAAGAACUCUUUGCCACCUCAUAGUUAGUUUAACGUCAAUUCAUUCAUGUGCCAGCAUUAUAAGACUAAUGCUAGGAAGACUAAAUUUGUAGACUAAAUUUGUAAACUAAAUGACAUGGAAGUUGAUUAUUAGAUUAUUACUUAAGCGUUAAUAAACGUGCUCAUUUUCUAUUGGUGACACGUCAUUUAGUUUGUAAAUUUUGUCUACAAAUUUAGUCUCCAUAGCGGUACUUGUAUUAUAAAACAUUGUGCCAAAUAUAUGAGGUGACAAAGAGUCUCAAUUUUGAGAGAGUAUCAUUAGCAUUUCUCUUCAAGAAUUUAUCCACAUUCUCCCUACUUAAUAAUUUCACCAAAAAUGGUUUCUGAAUGCUAAUGAUACUCCCUCAAUUUUGAGAGAGUAUCAUUAGCAUUUCUCUUCAAGAAUUUAUCCACAUUCUCCCUACUUAAUAAUUUCACCAAAAAUGGUUUUUGAAUGCUCACUUAUCAAAAUUAAGCCCCUGUUUAGUAUUUUUUUUUUCAUCAAAAGUUGCUUCACUUUAAAGUUAAGUAGUAAAAGUGUGUUUGGUAAAAAUAAAUUAUUUUGCUUAUAUUAAGCAUAAUGAAUGACCUCUAGAUAGCAGCUUUUAAAAGCAUCUUGUAGAUACAAAUGCUUUAAUACAAAGCAGAGUUGAGCCUUUAAUGAAUAUUUUUAAUUCCUAUAAUACGCUAAAUAAUUUUAAAAAAUAACAUUAUUUAUUCUUGUAGGCACAUUUUAUCAUUGAAGAAUAAAGUUGUGAAAUCUCGUUCCCAAAAGUUCAUUAUUUAAUUUAUGUAUUUCAUAUCUAUUUGAUUUUAUUUAACUAUAUUUUUGUUAAUAUUAGAAUUUUAAUUAUUUAGUUACAAAUUUUAGUUUUUCAUAAUUAGUCAAAAAGAAAAAAAAACUAGAAUCUGCCAGAUGGCAGCGGGAGAGAGAUAGACCAAUUAGAAGAGAGAGAAAUGAGAGAAAGGAUGGGGACCUAGCCAAUCAGAAAAGAGAGCAAGGAGGGGAAAUGAGGGAGAGAAAAACCACCCAAUACCGGAUUUUUGCAUCGACUUGUGAUUUCGUCGAUUUCAUCGGUUUUUCCGACGAAUUCCACUUAGCCGUCACUUGCACACUCCACCCCGACCUCCAUUCUCUCAUUUCCACAAAAAAUACGUGAGUUUUUGGCCUGGAUUUCACAAAAAAUUGCGUCGAGGGCUUUGUGGGUGCACGGUGUCAAUUUCGUCAUUUCUAAAAGGUUUUUCGUCAACCACUGCCACCCUUAGGCGUCUUUUGAGUCCAAGAACAUAGCCUAAAUGAGUUUGGGGGUUGCAGAGCUGCGAAUUCGACAAAUCGAGGAACACCCAUUUCUAGGGUUCCGAUGGAUCGAGGGUGUUUUCAGGCGUUUCUCGGUCAAAUUGGACUUUGGCCUAGGUAUGAAAGUUGUUUCCCUUGUUGUGAUCUACAAUUCUGUAAAAUUUGGUAAUUUUUAGAGUUAGGUGAAUUUUUUGGUGAGUCGAGGCGACACAUGGCCCGAAGAACCACUUGACCUUUCUUGGCUAAAUUCAAUACCCUGAUUCCAUAUGUGACUUGUAAUUGAUGAAAUCCCGUCGUUCGAACAUAGUUUUGAUAGAGGCUGCCACUUGAUCAUUAUAUGAAUUGACGAUCCAACCGUUGGAUCGACACCAAACUUUAGUGCGUUAUAGUACGUAAUAUUUGAGACAUUAGUAACUUAGCGAUCAGGAAUCUGAUGUACGGAUCUUUCCGAAUUGAAUUUCUAAGUUUGUAAAAUCAAACAUUGGCCACCAUUUAAUUUUAGCGAUUGGCGGAGAUCUGACAGUCGGAUUGUUCUGAAAUUUUAGGAUAUUGUUCUAGGAGAUUAUUGAGAGUCUUGGGAAGUUAUGCAUCGGAGAUCCAUGGGCAGAUGUUCUAGAUCGAAUUAUAUAGGGUUGUGGACCCCACCGUUGACAGAGAGUUGACUUUUGGUCAAUAUGUUACGAAUUGAUCUUAAAUAAUAAAAUUAGUAUUACUAGAUACUAAGUAGGGCUUAGUGGGCCUAUAUGGGUUGGUGAGCUAUCACAGGUAAUAUAUACCUCGGUAUACGUGUAUGGGAUGCUUUAUGGUGAUAUAUAUAUGUGUGUGUAAUUAACUUCUUGAUAAUACGAAUGAUACGAAUGAUACGAAUGAUAAUUUUUAUGACAAUGUGAGCCUAGAAACCUAUUAGAAGUAUCCUGGUAGAACUUGUAUGCUUAUGUGACAUGUUAGUUAGUGGCCAUGAGGAAUUGAUAGUGCAGGUGAUUACGUUGUAAAUCAUAGAGGUUGAGAUAUACGAGUAAGUAGGUUGUGUGGUGAUAAGAAUGGAUCAUGUAAUAAUGUGGUACGUGGGUGGUCCUGCUUGGUUAAUCUACAUUAGGGGACCACGCCAUGUGAUGCAGGGGUAUGGUCCGGUUUGGUUAAUACACAUUAAGGGACCAUACGCAUCAUAGGGGUGACCCUGCUUGGUUAAUCCGCAUUAGGGAGUCACUGCCUAGGCCAUUUCUUUAUUUCCAUAGUUGGUCUUACUUGGUUAAUCCGCAUUAGGGGACCAUACUAUGGACGAUCCUACUUGGUUAAUCUGCAUUAGGGGACCAUAUGCAUCAUGGGGGUGACCCUGCUUGGUUAAUCCAUAUUAGGGGGUCACUGCCUAUUCCAUUUCUCUAUUUCCAUAGUUGGUCAUGCUUGGUUAAUCUGCAUUAAGGGACCAUACUAUGGGCGGUCCCAAUUGGUUAAUCCGCAAUAAAGGAUCAUACUAUCGGAUACAUGCCUAUGGUUCUACUUGGUAUAUCUGCAAUAGGGGACCAUACGCAAUCUAUGAGUGAUUAUACUUGAUAUAUCCGCGAUGGGUGAUCAUUGCCUGCACAGUUGGAUUAUGCUUAUGAUUCUGCUUGGUAUAUUCGCAAUGGGAGACCAUACACAUUUUAGGGGUGAUGAGGAUUAGUUGUACUUGGUACAUUUCGAUAGGAGCCAUAUUUUAGUCGAAUUUCGUUGAGUGGUUCGAAAUCCUUACUCUUGCUUAUUUCCACAUAAUUAGUCUCGAACCCUAGAUUCGAGUGAAUGAGGAUUACUCACAGUAGACCUUAUGAAUAUAAAUUAGAUUUACCAUGUUAUUACUUAUAAAUCAAGUAAGGAAUUAUGUAGGGUUCUUUAAAUUAAUUCAUGAAAUGAUAUGUUACCUCAUUAAUUGAUUAACGUAGUUAAAUGUUAUUAUUAUGCAUCCUUGAUUCAUGAAAUUGAUUAAUUUACAUGAUUGUGGAAUGACAUUGGUUAUGGUUGGUGUUACUAUGAUUAGAUUAGUUGAUUAAUGUGGAUUGAGAAUAAUAUUGUGCUUCAUUGGUUCUUUGAUAUGAUACAUGUUGUGAAUUGAGGUAUCAUGUUGAAAACAUAGUGAUUUAUAUGAUCGAUGGAAUGGAAAUCUUGAAUGUCAUGUGGGUUUAUUUUGUAGCCCUGAACCUGGUAAUUUCAUGCUUUUCAAGUUCUAAUAAUUGAUUGAGGAAUGCUCUACUUUUAUGCUUAAACGUACUGUGAUAAACUCAGAGUGUAGUGAAUGGUGAACUACGAAUGACUUGAUCCCGUCUUUGGGUACAUAGGCAGUCUAACACAAAGGUUAGAUGCAGCCAUGAAAUAAAAGAAAAUGACUGCGUGGUUAAAUCAUAUUAUUUUUUUUCUUGUCUCGGAGACGAGACAUGAUGAAUAAACUAAGAUGUGCUGAUAUCACGUGUCGAUCUUGGACGUAUGUCGGGAUCGGGGCAUGACAAAAGUGACCACCGCCAUAAUCACCACCAUUGUUGCCACCACCACCACACUACAAUUGUGCCACCACCACCACCACCAUUGCCAUUGUUACCACCAUGCCAUCACCCCCACCAUAAACACAACCGCCACCACUGCUACCACAACUGCCAUCAUCACUGUUAUUGCCACCCCUACCACCGAUGUUGCCUCUGCAGCCCAACCACCACACCCCUUUAUUGGCACCACCACCACCAGCACCACACCAUCACAACCCUUGCCCUUAUCACCAUUGUCGUCGUCAUCACCAAUAUUGUUACGUCUAUUUUUGUCAUUAUAUACAAUUAUAAAUUAUCAAACGCUUUUACACUGUUUUUUAUACUCACAACACUUCUAAAAAUAUAGUUCAUCAAACACUAAACAACUUUAUUUUGUACCAGAUUAUUCUUAAAGCACAUCAGAAGCAGGUUUUUAAAAAAACACAUCAAUCUCAAAAUGGCCUUAAGAUUAUGGGUUUUUCAAUUGAGGUAAAUAUAUUAUGUAUUUGACCAAAACGAUUUUAAAUAAUUUGUCAUAAGAUGACGCGAAAGAAGAACGGAAAUGUGACACAUGAAAUUGAACCAAAGCAAAUGAUUUUCUUGGGUUUUAACACCCAUAUAUUUUUUUGUUGGUUUAUCAUUUUCACCAAGCUCCACCUCAUCUAUAAUCUUUAUGUAUUAUGUUCCGAUCCCGAAACCAAGCUCCACCUCAUCAAUAAUUAAAUAAUUUGAUGGCAUUACUUUUGUUUCCUUUCUCAAUUUAAAGGCCCAAACAAGAAACAAAGCAACACUAGACAAAGACCACUGCUGUAUAAUGGGUGUUUUAGAAACUCAAAAGGAAAGAAACUCAAAAGCUUCAAUUUGUUUGUCGUGCUCUUUUAACUUCCACUUUUACUGUUAUACAAGCGAAAACAAGAGAGAUUUAAUAUGAGUAAAGGGAUACUUUACUUCUUGAGAUACAAGUUUACUGUUGUAAUCUAGCAAGGUUUCUUCUAAGGAUCUUGGCUUUCUUUAUCUGUAAAGAAGAUGGGUUUUUGGUUGUUUAAUUAAUUUCUACCCAGAAUUGCAAGAUAAAAAGGGAUACAAAGGAGAAGACACACACACACGUGUUUUUUUAAAGAUGAUUACAUUUCCUGGAUAGAACUGAGAAGAUAUAUAAACCGGCAAACAAGUUUAUUUAUCUUAGGAAAGUAACAGUAUUUCCAUAUUCACUUUCAUGUUAUUACAACUUUCAUCUUAUUACAACUUUGAUGUCGAAAAUUAGAAAAUUUAAGGAAGGUGGUUUUCUUAUCAGUUAGGGUUUCUAUAAUGCGCGUUGAAUUCUUUAUCUAAGUAAGUUUUUAUCUGUUAGAUCACGACGGCUCACUGUCAAAUUAAAUGAAAAGUAAUGAAAGCACAAAACAGAAAACAAAAUAUCGUAGUUGACUGCUGGUAGGAUAAAUUUGCAGUUAAAUUUCAUCGAAAACAUUAAACUUGACAAGGAUUACCAGAACCAUAAAAUUACCACAUAACAAGUACACAAAGGAAACGAAAAACUUGAAACAAAAGUUCACAAACAAAUAACCAACGACAUAAGAAAACAGACUGCAUACUUUUAUUUAGACCAUUUUUUAGUACCCUCAAAACUAAUUGGCAAGUUAGUUAAUCCCCAUAAGUGACAAUGCUGUCCAUAAUCUUGGCCACUACCUCCUUAGAAUCCCUCAGUUUUUUUAUGCUUUUGUUAAGCUUCUCACGCUUUACUGCCACUGCCGGGGACUCCUCCAACAUCCUCUCAAUUCCCCCACCGUAAGGUCCCAACAACUCAUUCACAAUCUCAGCUUCCAUCUCUUUGUUCACAAGGUUGAAAACAGACAGCUGCAAGUGCAAUGCCAUGCAGUCCACAAGCCUCCUCAAAACAACCUUCCAAUAAGCAAUCAUUCUCAUUUUAAGGUCAUAAGCUUGAGCUAACACAUGCGGGUACUUCCUCAGAACACCGACUUCCACUUCCCCGAUGCCUUCUAUAUCUAUGAUAGAAGGCUUCUUCUCAUCAGUUAAGACUCCAUGAAUGAAUUCGUUUUGACUAGCCAUCAGCUUGUUCCAUUCGGAAACAUAAUCACCAUCACAUGUAUAAUCUGUCAGCUUUUCCAUCUCUACAAGCUCCAGCAUCCACUUGAUUGACCUCUCCUUCAUCUUGGCCAUUAGACUAUGGCCGGCACGCCUUGCUGACAGCUGCAGCUGAUGAUAGUUAUCCGUAUAAUGCAUCAACACAGAAAUAACCACCUCUUCAAUGUAGUUCCACACUUUUUCCUCAAAUGCAAUCGGAAUACUCGAAAUUUCAUUCACUUUUGCCUGCAAGAUAAUGAGGAAAGCAUUGCGUGGAAGGAAGUUCGGAAGUGAAAUACCUUUGGCCUCCUCCAAGAUCCUGAUCUCCUCCAUCAAGAAGUUGCUCUUUGCAUCAGUUUCAGCACAUCUGUGAAGUUCAUCCGAGUACUGGUUGAGCAUCUCAACCAAUCUAGCAGUGCAGUGCAUGCGAUUGUCUUCCGCGUACUCCUGAAAUUCUCCUCUCAAAAGAAUCUUCCUAAGCGAUUCCUUAGCCAAGCCAGUGAUUUGCAUAAAAGCCGUCAUGGCCUCAGCAACCGAUGAAAGACUCUUUGGCAUUUUGUUCAGCUCCAUAAUGCAGAAGUUCAGCCUGUCAUUGAUCUUCUUCACUAUCUCAGGUAUAUUUCUUGCUAUGCUGUUUGCUUGAAUUUGGACCAGCUUCUGUGCUAAAACUGGAAUGCCGACAAUGGACUUGUCAAUCUUCGAAAGCAGAGGAUGGGUUUGAAAUAGUUCAUGAGCCAUCACCGCUGCCUCCUCAUCAGUUUCGUCACCAAUCCUGUUCCUUACACAGACAUAACCAAGACCAAUGUUUACAUCAUCUCCAGUGACCUUCUCAAGUAGUCCUUCCGGUGCCUUGUCCACUUUCGUAACCACAGCGAGCGUCCUCUCACCAGUUUUAUCUACACUUUGUGACAUCCGGAUUGACUCACACGUAGUAAAAUCCACCGUAGCAGACAAUACAUUCAGAAUAAUACUUUCCUCCGGCUUAAUAUACUCCAUGAUCAUAUCUUUGAUCUGAUCAUAGAUAUUUUCAGGUUGGCCAUGGACUGGAACCCUUGUGAUUCCCGGAAGAUCAACCAUAGUCAGAUCCGGAACCCCAUACUUCUUCACCAACAAAGUAAGUGGCGUGUUUGAAAUUCCCUUACCUCCCCCCGCAAUAGAAUUAGUAGCUUUCACAAUAUCUUUGGUGAUAUUUUCUUCAUCAGUACGAUCAACUCUGCCAUUGUACUCCAAGGAAAGUUCAGGCUGAGGACUCGAGUGGUGUUCGAGCCUCAUAAUAAGAGGCACUCUCGUGCAGAUGCCUUGGCCCCGAGGUAGGCUGAUGCCGGCCAAGGAUUCGAGCACGCUAGACUUCCCGGAUGACUGGUCUCCGACCACCACAAUCGUUGGCAGCUGAAUGCCUUCAUCCAUCACCUUCAAGCUGCGUAACUUGUCUACCGCAUCCAGAAGAGGGCGGAUCUUGUCGUUAUAGGACGACACAAUGGGUGCGCAUUUGAGGGGUACUGCGUCUAGUCCUGCCUGAACCAUUGCGAGGGAGCCUUCACCGUUUAUAACUGUGCGACUCGAUUCCAUUUUCCUUGGUCCUUGCGUUUCUGAAUUAUAGCAAGUCAAAACAAUGGUGAAAAAUCUAGAGGGAAACCGAGAUUGUAGAGAGAUGAGAGAGAAUUCGAAGAUGGAAAAUGUUCUGUAUUGGGUUUAUGACUUAAUGGAGUAAAAUGUUCUAUUUAUAGCUACUGCUAUAUAUCAUUCUUAGCCCUUAAGCAACUUAACUGACUCUCAAUCAACAAUAGCAACACAUCUAACAAAAAUGCUACUUUUCCGAUAUAUUUGUACCAUCAUUUGCUUACAUUGAUAAAUCGGACUCAUACUCAUAAGCUGACAUGGCAGCCACAUGACUUAAAAGUAAGAAGAUUACUUGUCAGCGAAGAUAUCAGUCAGGAAGAAGUGAGAAAGCUGGGUUUAGUAAGUGCCUUAGGCUUAAAGGCUCCUAGUUGUAUGUAUAAUUGUUCAGCAAAACCUAUCGAAGUAAAUGACAACCAGCCUUUUCAAAACCGCAUGCUGAGAGAGUUGUGAUUUGGACUUCCAAACGUUCAGCAAACCAAACCGCUUGCGAGCCUUUGAACUUCUAAACCCUAAUCAGUGUAAAUGUAAUAUGGACAGUUAACUGAUAACCAUUUUUUGUGCUUGAUGCUCUUGAACUUCAGUCAACCUUUAUAUAUUAUUCAUUCAAAUAAUCGAUGACUAGCUAGCCAAUGUAAGUUGUAACCCAACAGAGACGAGAUGUUGAAGAAAAUUAAAUAUUUUUUGUAAUUUGGUAAGACAAACAAAGGCACCCAUUGGAGAAAGGGAAGUGCUAGCAGCCUUUGCCCUAACAUUUGUGUUUGGACCUCUUCACUUUAACAACUAACAGGUAUCAUUUUCUAUACAAAAAAGCAAGAAUUUUAAAGCUUUUGUCUAGGAAUUAACGAUGAGAAAUAUAAAAUAUACAUUAUUAUGUCAUUCAUUAAAAUGAAAAUUUUCAAAUGCAAAAGUUAGUGCAAAAGUGUAUUUCUCUUAGAAAAAUUCAAUCUAACAACCAAAAUUAAAGUUAACAAAAAAAAGUAGAGAACUUAAUUCAUAUUGAAUCUACCCUUAUGAUCGUGCUCCAGAAAAAUUGAGAAGGAUGCAGGGUUUUUGAAUUUGGUAAAGCUUAAGGAUUAAGGUUGCUGUUUUUUUUUUUUUUUUUUUUUUUUUUUUUUUUUUUUGGAGAAAAGUGGAAGAGAAAGAGCCUUUGAAGAUUCCUUUCUGAGUUUUCACAUUGUGGGGAUUUUGUUUCACUUUUACCAUUGUAAGACCAUAGAUAAUGGAUGCUGACAUGGUUGGACAGAUGUCGAAUAGUGGUGUGGUAUGCCCAAUCGGUUUAGGUUGCUGAAAAUAGCAACUUUAACUAAAAAUAGUGCAGGACUUUAAAAGAGGAAGGGGAAAUAAGAGUUUGAGGAAAAAGAGGCAACUUUAAUUCAUCAUUUCAUAGGUUCUUUACGCUCUCCAUUAUUACAUAUUUAUGCUCCUCAUAAAAGAGAAAAUAGAGUUUUAACGAAAAGCCCGCGGUACUGUUCACUUUAAUGAAAAACCACAUUUUUACACUAAAAAGUCAAAUCUGGUACUAUUCAUAUUACUCUUUAUUUUGUUCUUAUCGUUAAAAUUCAAAGUUUUAAAGCAUUUUUCAUUAGUUUUCCUAAGAGAACAACCCUAGCUACUUGGACAUAAAAAAAAAGGCUAGUACGGGCAAGUUGCAAGAGGAGAAGUAGUGGGCUCAAGUAAAUGGGCUUAAUAACUCCCCCCUCUCCUUGAGAAUAGGCCUGACCUUAGGUCAAGAAAUCGAGGUAACGGGCCAAGAUGUCGUCAGCUUCCUCCCAGGUGACAUCUUCAGUGGGUAGGCCAACCCACUUGAUCAACCAUUUUGUCGCAGCUUUAUUUUUUUUUCUUGAAUAUGCCCUUGUCUAAAACUCUUUCUGGUUGCCAGUGUAGAACCCCAGUGGAGUCGAUAGGAGGCAAAACUGACAGUGGAGGAGAAAUACUACCAAUCUUUUGUUUAAGGAGAGACACAUGAAAGACGGGGUGGAUUUUGGAGUCUAAAGGCAAACGAAGCUGAUAUGCUACGAAACUGAUGCGCUUAGUUAUCUGAAAAGGUCCAUAGAACUUGGGUGCCAGCUUGUUUGUUGUUCUAGUAGCCACUGAUUGUUAGCGGUAUGGUUAAAGCUUCAGGUAAACCCAGUCACCAACAUUAAAUUCCCGCUCAGUUCUCUUGUUAUCAUAGACUUGUCUCAUUUUGUUCUCUGCAAGCUGCAAAUUUGUUCUCAUAAGACAGAUUAAUUUGUCCUUAUCCUGUAUUGCAGCAUCAAUUGAGUGUACCGUCGUGGAGCCGAGCAUAUACAUGCAAAGGUGGUUCAAUGUCAUAAACAGCCUGAUAUAGAGACAUUUUGAUGGAAGAUUGGAAGCUUGUAUUAUACCACCAUCUAGCCCAGGGAAUGAGAGAAGACCAAUUGGUGGGUUUGUCUAUUGAGAAACAUCGAAGAAAAUGUUCCAAUGUGCAGUUAAGGACUUUCAUUUGCCUAUUCGUUUGAGGGUGGUAACCUAAACUUAGGCAAAGUUUGUUGCCUUGGAGUUUAAAGAACUCUUGCCAAAAGUUACUAAGAAAAUUGGGUCGCGAUCUGAAACGAUCUAUUUUGGCAUACCAUGGAGUCAGAAAACCUCAUUGCUGAAAGUAUCAGCUACAAAGGCAACUGUGUAUGGGUGCUUUAAUGGGAUAAAGUGGCCAUACUUUGAUAGGCGAUUGAUGACAACUAGGAUCACGGUGUACGCGUUGGAAAAUGGGAGCCCUUUGACAAAAUCAAGAGUGAUGUCCUGUCAUAUGCCAGUGGGGAUGAGCAAGGGAUGCAGUAACCUAGGAGGGUGUUUUGUAUGCAUUAAGCCACAAUUUUUUUUUGUUUCCUUUCGAAUUCCCGGCCAUAAAACUUUUUUGGAGAGUCUUUUGUAUGUUCAAAGGAAGCCCAAGUGACCAUCUUAGAGAGAUGCAUGGAAUUCAUCCAAGAGUUUAGGUUGCCAUUGGGAUGUGAGUAGUGGGACAAAGAUCUGUUGCUUGUAGUGCAACACAUCAUUUAUAAUUGAGAACCCUUUGAUUGAAGUGUUGGGUAUUGGAACUAAAAGAUUCCAAACCUUUUGCACUUCUAGAUCCUAUGCAUAAGACUGUUGCAACUGAGGAAUGCAAUCAAAUAUAGGGGUAGAGAGGCCUAUUAAGAGCAAAAGUUCUUGUUGGCAGGAGAUAGCAUAUGGAGCACUGUUUUGAGAACCCGACCUAUACUCGACCGAGUAGUUGUACCCCAACAAUUUCACCAGCCAUUUUUAAUUUUUUUCACAAAAACUGUAAGUUAUAACUCACGUUUUCCAAUCGAUUUUAAGAACUUUUACAAGAUUCAUUAUAAGCCAAAAUUUGAGUCGUUUUAGUCGCACCACAUGUUUUCUAAAAUUAAUUUAGGACAUCCCAAAUAUUUUUCAACACCUACAAAUUUCUUUGGUGGCUUCACUAUUAGUUUAUACUAUUUUUCUAACUCAUAGUAACAACGAAAAAAUUUCUCAGCAUGACCAAAAUGAUUGAUGGUGCAUCAGAGACUACUUUUAUCGAUUUCAAAUUUGAAGGACUAAAGUAAGGAGUUAUGCCAGAAAGUGGCCCUCUACCACAGUGGUGGAGAGGAGUAUUGGCCUUACACUACGACAGAGCUUCGAACCAUGACGGCUCCCUAAUCUAACAUCUAAUUAAAAAAUCUAUUGUUUGACGAAGAAAAAAAAGUAAGGAGUUAUGUCAAUUUCAAAAUCCGUUUUGGCCCCUUUUUAACAUGGAUGGAGGGUUUCAAAUUCCUUGUUACUACCUUUUAGGGGUUUUAUUAAAUUUUAUGAAUUUUUUUGUUGGUAUAUUUGAGCGUGUCUUUAAAAUGAUUAAAAUUGUUUUAAUAUAAUAAAAUAAAAAGUGUUUAUGACAACAUUUUGACCAAAAAAAGGACUUUAUGGAGAGGUCUAUGAGCAAAAUGCAACUCUUACUACCUAUUUGUACUAUAAUUUGUACCACUAAUAAAGAUGAGACUCACAUGCGUUGGCGAGCCUUACCUCUAUUAGAGAUAUAGUAGAAAUAUAUGGUAAAUGUAGCAUUACUCGUCUAUGAGUGUUUUCAACGGAGUACAAUUCUCUGUCAUCCUAUUCCUAGUGUGGUUUAGUCCAUACUAAGUGUAUGGAUUCUAACAAACGAUCAAUUAAAACAUGAAAUCUAAUAUGGACAUUUAAUUAAAUGUUUAUUAAUAUUUACGGUGCGGUUCGGUUUCGGUGUAGUUUUCAAAAGCCAAAACCGAAACCAAACCGUUUUCUAUGUUGCGGUUCGGUUUCAAAACCGAAACCGUUUCAAAACCGCAAAACCAAACCAUUCGGUGCGGUUUGAUUUGGUUCGUGUUUUGGUUUCGGUUUUCGGUUCUAAGUGCCAAUCCCUAGGAGAGCGUGUCCCUUUUUUUUGAAAAAUAUGGAUCAUUUCCCUUAAGCUCCUCCUACACACACACACACACACACACACACACACACACACACAUAUAUAUAUUAAAAUGAUAACCUUUCUUGGAUAGAACUGAGCAUAUAAACAUGCAAAGGUAAUGUUAGAGAGACCAAAGUUUUAAACAAAAUAAUGUGUUACCAAUAAAAAAUAAGCACGUUAAUCAACGCUAAAGUAAUAAUUCAAUUAUCAAUAAGCACAUCAUUUGGUUUGUAAAUUUGAUUUAAAAAAUUUGGUCUCCCUAACAUUAUCCAACCUGCAAACAAGUUUAAUUAUCUUAGACAAGCAACAUUAUUUACAUAUUUACUUUCAGGCAAUUACAAAUUUGACGUCGAAAAGAAGAUUUAAGGAAAAUGGUUUUCUUAUUAAUUAGGAUUUUUACAAUGCGUGUCGCAUUCUUUACCUAAAGUUUUUAUGUCUGUCAGAUUGGUUAUGAAAGCUCACUGUCAUAUUAAUAAACGGUAUUAUAAGCAGAAAACAUGAGACAAAAAAUAGGAGUUAAACUGUAUGUAAGAGGAAAUCGCACUUAAAUUUCAUUAAUAACAGUAAACUUGACAAGGAUUACCACAAUCAUACGACUACGGACUAUUACACAACAAGAACACAAGGGAAACAAAAGAACUUAAAAACAAAAGUUGACUAACAAACAACCACCCACAUCAGACAACAGAAAGCUAAUUGCCAAGUUAGUUAAUCACCAUAAGUGAUAAUGCUGUCCAUAAUCUUGGCCACCACCUCCUUCGAAUCCCUCAGUUUUUUUAUGCUUUUGUUAAGCUUCUCACGCUUUACUGCCACUGCCGGGGACUCCUCCAACAUCCUCUCAAUUCCCCCACCGUAAGGUCCCAUCAACUCAUUCACAAUCUCAGGCUCCAUCUCUUUGUUCACAAGGUUGAAAACAGACAGCUGCAAGUGCAAUGCCAUGGAGUCCACAAGCCUCCUCAAAACAACCUUCCAAUAAGCAAUCAUUCUCAUUUUAAGGUCAUAAGCUUGAGCUAACACAUGCGGGUACAUCCUCAGAACACCGACUUCCACUUCCCCGAUGCCUUCUAUAGUUAUGAUAGAAGGUUUAUACUCGUCAGUUAAGACUUCAUGAAUGAAUUGAUUUUGACUAGCCAUCAACUUCUUCCAUUCGGAAACAUAAUCAUCAUCACAUGUAUAAUCCGUUAGCUUUUCCAUCUCUACAAGCUCCAGCAUCCACUUGAUUGACCUUUCCUUCAUCUUGGCCAUUAGAUUAUGGCCGGCACGCCUGGCUGACAGCUGCAACUGAUGAUAGUUCUCCGUAUAAUGCAUCAACACAGAAAUAACCACCUCUUCAAUGUAGCUCCACACUUUUUCCUCAAAUGCUAUCGGAAUACUCGAAAUUUCAUUCACUUUUCCUUGCAAGAUAAUGAGGAAAGCAUUGCGUGGAAGGAAGUUCGGAAGUGAAAUACCUUUGGCCUCCUCCAAGAUCUUGAUCCCCUCCAUCAAGAAGUUGCUCUUUGCACCAGUUUCAGCACAUAUGUGAAGUUCAUCCGAGUACUGUUUGAGCAUCUCAACCAAUCUAGCAGUGCAGUGCAUGCGAUUGUCGUCCGCAUAGUCCUCAAAUUCUCCUCUCAAAAAAAUCUUCCUAAGCGAUUCCUUAGCCAAGCCAAUGAUUUGCAUAAAGGCUGUCAUUGCCUCGGCAACAGAUGAAAGACUCUUUGGCAUUUUGUUCAGCUCCAUAAUGCAGAAGUUCAGCCUGUCAUUGAUCUUCUUCACUAUAUCGGGUAUAUUUCUUGCUAUGCUGUUUGCUUGAAUUUGGACCAGCUUCUGUGCUAAAACUGGAAUACCGACAAUGGACUUGUCAAUCUUCGAAAGCAGGGGAUGGGUUUGAAAUAGUUCAUGAGCCAUCGCCGCUGCCUCCUCAUAAGUUUCGUCACCAAUCCUGUUCCUUACACAGACAUAACCAAGACCAAUGUUUACAUCAUCUCCAGUGACCUUCUCAAGUAGUCCUUCCGGUGCCUUGUCCACUUUCGUAACCACAGCGAGCGUCCUCUCACCAGUUUUAUCUACACUUUGUGACAUCCGAAUUGACUCACACGUAGUAAAAUCCACCGUAGCAGACAACACAUUCAGAAUAAUACUUUCUUCCGGCUUAAUAUACUCCAUGAUCAUAUCUUUGAUCUGAUCAUAAAUAUUUUCAGGUUGGCCAUGGACCGGAACCCUUGUGAUUCCCGGAAGAUCAACCAUAGUCAGAUCCGGAACCCCAUUCUUCUUCACCAACAAAGUAAGUGGCGUGUUCGAAAUUCCCUUACCUCCUCCCGCAAUAGAAAUAGUAGCUUUCACAAUGUCUUUGGCGAUAUUGUCUUCAUCAGUACGAUCAACUCUGCCAUUGUACUCCAGGGAAAGUUCAGGCUGAGGACUCGAGUGGUGUUCCAGCCUCAUAAUAAGAGGCACUCUCGUGCAGAUGCCUUGGCCCCGAGGGAGGCUGAUGCCGGCCAAGGAUUCGAGCACGCUGGACUUCCCCGAUGACUGGUCUCCGACCACCACAAUCGUUGGCAGCUGAAUGCCUUCAUCCAUCACCAUCAAGCUGCGUAACUUGUCUACCGCAUCCAGAAGAGGGCGGAUCUUGUCGUUGUAGGAUGACACAAUGGGUGCGCAUUUGAGAGGUACUGCGUCUAGUUCUGCCUGAACCAUGGCGAGGGAGCCUUCACCGUUUAAAUCUGUGCAACUCGAUUCCAUUUGCCUUGGUCCUUCCGUUUCUGAAUUAUAGCAAGUGAAAAUAAUGGUGAAAAUUCUAGAGAGAAACCGAGAUAAUUUCAAGCUUAAUUAGCUAAAGAAUUGAGGUUCUCUGGCAGUUUACCCUCCAGUUUAUAACAUUUUUUUACUAAGAAUGUUUUCAGGUAAGGGAAAACACCACUUUCGUGAUCCAGUAGGAAACGGAGCCUUUCUUUCAACCGCUGCAUUUCCACAAACUCAAGAGACUCUAAUACCCGAAAAGGCAAGUUACGCUCUCCUUAAAACUCAGCACCAAUUCGAAGAUGGAGUAAAAUGUUCUGUAUUGAGUUUGUGACUUAGUGGAGUAAAAUGUCCUAUUUAUAGUGAUGCAGUACAAGACUCUCAUGCAUGUAUUGGAAUCUACCAAGAGUUGGAACCAUCAAAUAUAUUUAAUGGAGUUUUAGAGCAACACAACUAAUUAAGUAGUCAUUUAAGACCAUUUUAAAUAUUUUGGGUAGAGCAAAAGUCCAAUUCGGACUAGAGUUUCAUUGUGUUGUAUUCCUUAUAAAUAUAUGUACUAAUUGUAUUCCUUAAAUGACUACUUAAUUAGUUGUGUUGCUCUAAAACUCCAUUAAAUAUAUUUGAUGGUUCCAACUCUUGGUAGAUUCCAAUACAUGCAUGAGAGUCUUGAUUACUACAUCAUUUAGCUACUGCUAUGUGUCAUUCUUAGCCUUCAAGCAGCUUAACUGACUCUCAGUCAACAAUAACAACACAUCCAACAGCUUAAGGAUUGCUGUUUUUAGUGGAGAAAUGUGGAAGAGAAAGAGCCUUUGAAGAUUCCUUUAUGAGUUUGCACAUUGUGGGAGAUUUUGUUUCACUUUUACCAUUGUCAGGCCAUAAUCAUGGAUGUUGACAUGGUUGGACAGAUGUCGAAUGAUGGUGUCAUUGGGCCCCCACCAUCAAAGAAAAAGCAGUCCCCAUGGGGCAUCUAAGCGGAAAGAGAAUCCAUUAUAGUAUAAAGAUUUAGCAUUCACACUCAUAGCUUCGACAUCAAUCAUUUUCUUCCUUGCCGAUGUUCUUUAUAUUUUGCUUUCUUUAUUUCUUGAUAAGUUGUUUCUGGAUGAUAUUUUUUUAGAAUCUCUUGGAUGUCGUAUGCGUGCUACGUCACUCGUUUGUAUCAAAACACGCAUAAACAUUAUUUCUUUCAAUCGAGAUUUAAAAUUAAAAGUCUACAUACACUUUUUUGUUGUAAUUUGACUGAUGGACCAUAAUGUUGGAUUGUGAACUACCUUAGUACAUAUGUGUAGAAGUGUGGCAGGUGACGUAAGCAUAAAUAAUCAUUUUAACAUGCAUGUUAGCAAAAUGUUAAAUUGUGUUUAAUCAUAUUAAAUUAAUUUAUGUAUUGGUUUUGUUCAGGUAUAAUAAAAUUAAAAACACAUGUAUAAACUUAGUGUAAGUUUUAGGAUUCUCACCUUUAGAUUUCAUAGGUGGACAAAUUCAAUGUUGUUAAAGAUCCCAAGUGUUAGCCCUCAACUAGUGUCUACACGAAUAAAUAUCUGGCUAGUGAAGCAAAAAAACGACAAUUUGCUAGAACUUUAUCCAUCAGGUAGGUGUUGCCAUAAAGGGAUUUGGUAUGGUGUUUUGUUUUUCAAUUCUCUAAAUUGGAAAACCUAUUUCUUUUCUCUCUAAUAUCUAUUUGCGAUUAUUGAAUUCUCACACUAUGUUACAUAGACCCCUUAGGCUUAUAAAAAGAACAAUCUGUAAUUAAGCCAAUUGUGUGUUGCACGCCCUAGGGAAAUUUUUUAGAAACUUUUGGGUUCACUAGUCUGUAUCACGUCACUCGCUUGUCUCAAGAAGAGAUCCUUUCACAUCACCAGUUUACCACACUAAAAUUUUGAAUUUAUUAGAUGGAUAAUACAAUUUGUUUAAUAAAUGACCAACUUUACAAAUAUUUUUGUGAAGUGAUUUCACACAUAUUUUUUAGCUUUUACACACCCAUGUUUAAUUUUAGAUGUUGAUUCCGUUUGAUUUAUUUAAUCUGGUGGCCAUAAAUAAAGAGAGGUACGUGGAAAACUAAAAAUGGUGUGUGAAAAUCCUUGACACUACUAAGCAUGAAUUUUAGUAAGAUGAAAAAAGACCUUCGCUUGAUACCCGUGGGAGGACGUGACAUGACUUCCUUUAUUGAAGGAUGAGGAAUGCUAAUGUGACUUUCAAAAGUAGGACUUUCUAAUGACUCUCUGCCACCUCAUAGCUAGUUUAAUGUCAAUUCAUUCACGUGCCAACAUUAUAACACAAAUGCUAGGAAGGCUACAUUUAUAGACAAAAUUUGUAUACUAAAUGACAUGAAAGUUGAUGAUUAUAUUAUUAUUUAAGCGUUGAUAAACGUGCUCAUUUUCUAUUGGUAACAAGUCAUUUAGUUUUCAAAUUUUGUCUACAAAUUUAGUCUCCAUAGCAUUACCUGCAUUAUAAAGUAUUGUGCCAAAUAUAUGAGCUGACAAAGAGUCCAUAGAGAGUCUCAAUUUUGAGUCUCAUUAGCAUUUAUCUUCAAGAAUUUAUCCACAUUCUCCUCACGUAAUAAUUUCACCAAAAAUGUUUUCUAAAUGCUCACUUAUCAAGAUUAAACCCCCGUUUGGUAUUUUAUUUUUUGGGUAAAAGACUGUUUACUACCCUCAUGUUUCGUGGUUUUCAACAUUUAGUACAUCAUGUUUUUUUCGUCUCAGAGUCAUACCUAAAGUGUAAAUUUUGGGACAGUCUCAUACAUCCGUUAGUCAAACUGUUAAGUUUUUCGUUAACUGUGACGUGGCGCACUGACUGGGCGCCACGUGUCAUCCACGUUUUUUUUUUUUCUUUUUCUUUUUUCUUUCUUUUCUUUUCUUCUUCUUCCUUCUUCUUCUUCUUCCUCCGACUGCAACUUUUUUUUUUUUUUUUGCUUCUUCCUUUUCCUUCUUCCUUCCUUCCUCCUUCCUUUCCCUUUCUUCCCCUUCUUCCUUCUUCUUCCUUCUUCUUCCUCCGAAAUCUGGGGAAUGUUUUUUUUUUUCUUUCUUCUUCUUCCUCCUUCCUUCCCCUUCUUCCUUCUUCUUCUUUCUCCUUCUUCUUCUUCUUCUUCUUCCUCCGAAAUCUGGGGAAGUUUGUUUUUUUUUUUCUUUCUUUCUUCUUCUUCCUCCUUCUUCUUCUUCUUCUUCUUCCUCAAAAAAAAAAAAAAAAAAACACUUUUAUCUUUUCUUCCUCUUCUUCUUCUUCUUCUUCUUCUUUCUCUUUCCUCCUUCCUUCUUCUCCUUCUUCUUCUUCUUCUUCUUCUUCCUCCGAAUCUGCCCAGAUUCAAUUUUUUUUUUCUUCCUCCUUCUUCUCCUUCUUCUUCUUCUUCCUCCGAAUUUGGGGGAAGAUGAAAGUGUUUUUUUUUUUUUGAGGAAGAAGAAGAAGAAGAAGAAGAAAGAAAGAAAAAAAAAAAAAACAUUCCCCAGAUUUCGGAGGAAGAAGAAGGAAGAAGAAGGAAGAAGGGGAAGAAAGGGAAAGGAAGGAGGAAGGAAGGAAGAAGCAAAAGGAAGAAGCAAAAAAAAAAAAAAAAAAACAAAAACAGAAAGUUGCAGUCGGAGGAAGAAGAAGAAGAAGGAAGAAGAAGAAAAGAAAAGAAAAAAAAAAGAAAAAAAAAAACGUGGAUGACACGUGGCGCCCAAUCAGUGCGCCACGUCACAGUUAACGAAAAACUUAACAGUUUGACUAACGGAUGUAUGAGACUGUCCCAAAAUUUACACUUUAGGUAUGACUCUGAGACGAAAAAAACUUGAUGUACUAAAUGUUGAAAACCACGAAACAUUAGAGUAGUAAACAGUCUUUUACCCUUAUUUUUUUCAACAAAAGUUGCUUCACUUUAAAGUUAAGCAGUAAGAAUGUGUUUGGUAAAAAUAAAUUAUUUUGCUUAUAUUAAAAGUAAUGCAUGUCCUCCAGACAGCAACUUUUAAAAGCAGCAUGUAGGUAAAGCUGUUUUUAAUAAAAAGCAGAAUUGAGCUUUCAAUGAAUAUUUUUAAUUCCUGUAAUAUGCUCAAUAAUUUUAGAAAAUAACAUUAUUUAUUCUUGUAGGCACAUUUUAUCAUUGGAGAACAAAGUGACCACCACUAUAAACCCUAACCUCUUACACUACCAUUGCCAUGAUCACCACCAUUGUUGCCACCACCACCACACUACAAUUGCGCCACCACCACUACAACCAUACACACCACCGCUACCUUUGCCAUCAUUACCACCACACCGCCGCCGCCGCCGCCACCACCACCAUAAACACAACUGCCACCAUCAAUGUUGUUGCCACCCCUACGACCAAUGUUGCCUCUGCAGCCCAACCACCACCACCAUCCCAACCCUUACCCUUAUCACUGUUGUCGUCGUCACCACCAACAUUGUUACGUCUAUUUUUGUCAUUAUAUACAAUUAUAAAUUAUCAAACGCUUUUACGCCGUUUUUCAUACUCAACACUUUUAAAAAUACAAUUCAUCUAACACUCAACUGCUUUAUUUUGUAGCAGAUUAUUCUUAAAGCACAUCAGAAGCACUUUUUUUUAAAGCACAUCAAUCUCAAAAUGGCCGUAAGAUUAUGAGUUUUUCAAUUGAGAUAAAUAUAUAAUUUAUUUGACCAAAACGAUUUUAAAUUAUUUGUAAUAAGAUCACGCGAAAGAAGAACAUAAACGUUACACAUGAAAUUAAACCAAAGCAAAUGAUUUUCUUGGGUUUUAACACCCAUAUAUUUUUUGUUGGUUUAUCAUUUUCACCGAGCUCCACCUCAUUUAUACUUAAAGAAAUGUAUUAUGUUCCGAUCCAGAAACCAAGCUCCACCUCAUCAAUACUUGGAUAAUUUGAUGCAUUACUUUUGUUUCCUUUCUCAAUUUGGAGGCCCAAACAAGAAACAAAGCUACACUAGACAAAGACAACUGCUGUAUAGUGGGUGUUUUAGAAACUUAAAGGAAAGAAACUCAAAAGCUUCAAUUUGUUUGUCGUGCUCCUUUAACUUCCUCUUUUACUGUUAUACAAGCGAAAACAAGAGAGAUUUAAUGAGUAAAGGGAUACUUUACGCCUUGAUAUACAAGUUUAUUGUCAUGAUCUAGCAAGGUUUCUUCUAAGGAUCUUGGCUUUCUUUGUCUAUAAAGAAGUUGGGUUUUUGGUUGUUUAAUUAAUUUCUACUAGAAUUGCAAGAUAAAAAGGGAUACAAACACUACAAGAAAGCCGGGCUUAUGUGACGACAGAUAUUCGUCAUAGAAAAUAAAAAUGCGUCACAUUUGAUAAUAUGUGACGCCUUUACAGCGUCACUGCGAACGUCACCUAUGAUGCGUCACGGAAAGUAUAAGUGACUAAUUUUAAAAGCGCCACAUAUUUGUAGUAUAUGUGACACUGUUUUCGUCAAUUAAUAGGAGAUUGUGACGGAUUAGGCGUCACAAAAGAAUAAAUUAUGUGACCUAUAUAAUUCGUAAUGUAUGAAAUAGAUAAGUGACACUGAAGGCGUCACAUUUUUCUUCCAUUUGUGGCAUAGCUUGGGUCACUUAUGUCAAAAUAAAAUAUCUAUUUUGAAAAUAUAUGUGACAAACCAAUACAAUUCCCUAUUUAUAAUAUGAUGUUACAAUUCCUUGUUUAUAAAAAAGAAUCAAUUAUGUGACCUAUAUAAUUCGUCACUUAUGAAAUAGAUAACUAACACUGAAAGCGUCACAUUUUUCUUCCAUUUAUGGCACAGCCUGGAUCACUUAUGUCAAAAUAAAAUAUCUAUUUUGGAAAUAUAUGUGACAAACCAAUACAUAUUCCCUGUUUAUAAUCUGAUAUUACAAUUCAUUGUUUAUAAAAAAGAAUAAAUUACAUGACCUAUAUAAUUUGUCACUUAUGAAAUAGAUAAGUGACGCUGAAAGUGUCACAUUUUUCUUCCAUUUGUGGCGUAGCCUGGGUCAUUUAUGUCAAAAUAAAAUACCUAUUUUGGAAAUAUAUGUGAUAGACCAAUACAUAUUCCCUGUUUAUAAAGGAUCAAGGGACAAACAUUUUGACAAACAUAUAUAUAUAUAUAUAUAUAAUAUAUAUAUGUUUUUUUUUUUAAGAUGAUAACAUUUCCUGAAUAAAACUGAGAAGAUAUAUAAACCGGCAAGCAAGUUUAUUUAUCUUAAGAAAGUAACAGUAUUUCCAUAUUCACUUUCAGGUUAUUACAACUUUGACGUCGAAAAAAUAAGAACAUUUAGGGAAGAUGUUUUUCUCAUAAGUUAGGGUUUCUUCAAUGUUUGUCGGUUUCUUUACCUAAGUAAGUUUUUAUCUGUCAAAUUAGUUACGAAGGCUUACUGUCAAAUUGAAUGAAAGGUAAUGAAAGCAGAAAAUAGAAAACAAAAUAUCGGAGUUGACUAUUGGUAGGAUGAAUUUGAGUUAAAUUUCUUUGAAAACUUUAAAAUUGACAAGGAUUACCAAAACUAUACAAUUACCACAUAACAAGAACACAAAGGAAACUACGAGCUUGUUUGGUAUCCUAUUUGAAAAUUAUUGUCAUUUCUCAAAACAUUUCUUGAAAACAAUUUUCUUUAAGACUAAAAAACUUGACUGGUUUGCGAUUUACAAUUUUUAAAUCUUACAACUAAAAUUAGGCAAAGAGAUCUAAAAAGAGGGGAUCGUAGGAGAGGGAGAAAGAGGAGAGAAGAGGAAAGAAAGCAAGAGAUGAUUGAAGAAAAGAGAAAGAAGAGAGAGAAUCGAACAAAAGAGAGAGGAAGAGGAGUGAGAGAAAGAACAUAGAGAAUGAAAAGAGCAGAUUGAAAGAGAGACGAAACAUGUAAAAAAAUAAAAAUAAAGAGGAGAGAGAGAGAGAAGAAAAGAGAGAGAUUUGGAGUGAGAGGGGAGAAGGGAGAGAAGAAAAAAAAGUGUGAGUUUAAGUUUAAAAACUCUAAAAACUCACUUUUUAUGUUUUUAGAUAAUAGACUAUAUUUUUGAGUUAGUCUUGAGUUUAGUUUUUUAAGUAGUCUUACCAAAGACUAAAACUUGAAAAUUGUUUUUGAGUUUAAAAAAUUGGAUUCAAGGAAAGUAUCAAACAGACGCUAAAAAACUUGAAACAAAAGUUUACAAACAAACAACCAACGACAUAAGGAAAACAGACUGCAUACUUUUAUUUACACCAUUUUGUAGUACCCUCAAAACUAAUUGGCAAGUUAUUUAAUUACCAUAAGUGAUAAUGCUGUCCAUAAUCUUGGCCACUACCUCCUUAGAAUCCCUAAGCUUUUUUAUGCUUUUGUUAAGCUUCUCACGCUUUACUGCCAUUGCCGGCGACUCCUCCAACAUCCUCUCGAUUCCCCCAUCGUAAUGUCCCAUCAACUCAUUCAUAAUCUCAGCUUCCAUCUCUUUGUUCACAAGGUUAAAAACAGACAGCUGCAAGUGCAAUGCCAUGAAGUCCACAAACCUCCUCAAAACAACCUUCCAAUAGGCAGUCAUUCUCAUUUUAAGGUCAUAAGCUUGAGCUAAAACAUGCGGUUACUUCCUCAGAACACCGACUUCAACUUCCCCGAUGCCUUCUAUAGCUAUGAUAGAAGGUUUAUUCUCGUCAGUUAAGACUCCAUGAAUGAAAACAUUUUGACUAGCCAUCAACUUGUUCCAUUCGGAAACAUAAUCAGCAUUGCAUGUAUAAUCUGUCAGCUUUUCCAUCUCUACAAGCUCCAGCAUCCACUUUGACACGCCCUGAUCCGGAUGUCCUGGAGACAUCGGGAUAGUCACGUGCUGGCCGACACCCGAGGGGUGACGAAAGCCAUUUAAAAGGCAUAAGAACGAGAAAUAUGAAUUUAAUAUAACAUUUAAUAGGCAUUUAAGGAACGUGUUCAGAGCAUAUAACUAAUUAGAAUACUAGGAAAAAAAUGAUAUAAAAAUUGAAUAAACAAAAGGAGUGGGUCCUACACCGAGAGGACUCGAAGAUGCCAAUGUAGAAGUGUCUUGACGCCGGGAUUGUAUGCCUCGAUUCUAAGCCCUGAAGGGGGCGCAAAACAAAGGUGAGUGGACCAGUUUGAUAUACAUAUAAUAAAACAGUUAUCAACAUACUAACCCCCUGAUUUUUAUGAAAACACAUAUAUGUAUCAUGAUAAACAUAAGUUUUCCGAAACCUAGAAUGUCGUGCAAUAUCUCAAAUCAUAACUCGCAAAACAUAAUAAACACUAGUGUCAAAUGUCCACAUAUAUCCAUCCAGGCCCUAUGUCAUCUCCCCAUCCCUGAGCAUACAGUCAAAGAAAAUAUGACUUCAGGCCCUAUGCUAGCUCCACUGUCCCUGUUCUAAAUAGUCAGAGGGAAAUACACUCCAGGCCCUAUGCCAACUCCACCGUCGCCCGGGAUGGACCGAAAUCUAUCCCUACAUCCCGUAGCGGAAAUUGGGACAGCUAGGUAAUACAGAAUCAUCGCACAUAUAUUUAUUCAAAAGUAACAUCAUAUAUCAUUCUUAUAAACUCAUGCUUUUUAUGCGUGCAAUUCUACUAAUAAAGCAUGUAUUUUAGAAGGGGUCCACUCACAGUACUUCACCGUCGAAAGCCGCGCUGCUAACAAAGAUAGAAACGCCACAAUAAUUGCCCCUAAGCACAUAAACGUUCCAAUUAAUAAAUCUUUAUUAAAACAAUUGAAUUUGAGAAAACGGACGUCGAAAACGGAUUCAAGACGUUGAAUUACCUUAAGAAGGGUCCUGGAUAAAUUUCGUAAACGUCAAUAGAAUAUUCCACAUCAAGAGUUUGGGCCGGCUAGGGUUUAAGGGUUUAGUGCUUAAGGCCCUAGGUUAAAAAGGUUUGGGUUAGACUUUUAAAAAGGUUAGGCUUAGGUUAAAUAGGUUUAGGGCUUAGGAAGUUGGGUUGGGUCCUUAAGGGUUUUGGGUUUCUAGGUUAAAGGGUUAGGAAAUUGGGUUGAUAAAAAGGGCCUAGGGUAAAUAAUUGGGUUUGGGCUUAAAAGGGUCACGGAUUGGGCUGGAGACCCGUGGGUUUUGGGCUGGUUUCAAAGGACUUGGGUCGAGUUGAUUCGUUUUCAGGCCAAUGAAAUGGUCGAUUUCUGGGUAUCACUUCGAACGCCCAUAACUUCUUCGUUACUCAUCCAAAAUAAGUAAUCCAAACAUGAAAGUUGUAGUACUCGACGAGAUGAAGAGAUUGAUACCCUGCACUCCGCCAAACUCUCCGUGGUUUGGCCGGAAAACACCUCGAAAGGGGCGGUGCUCGUCGGAAAACUGGGUUUUUUGGCCGAAUGUUUGGGUAAUUUUCAAAGCUUUGUAACUUCUUCGUUUCUUAACCACAUUGAGUGAUUCAAAAUCUAAAAUGUAGUUAGGAAUGUGGAGAAGAGGUUCAUACCAAGUGAGGACCGAGUGGUUACCGGAGUUCACCGAAAAACGACCUGAAAAAUCAUAGCAAAAGACAGCAUAGUGAAAGAGGCUUGAGUUGUAGUGCUAGUUGCUGGAGUCGAAGAAGGGGUUGUGGUAGUGAGAGUAGAAAGAAACGGAGCGGAGGGAGUUGGGAAAGAUUGUGAGGUCGGUUUUGAGGUGGCAUUGGAGAAACUAGUGGAGAAACCAAAAGAGGAUUGCAAAGCGGAGGAAGCCAGAGUUCCGAAGGAAGAGAAUCUGGAAACGGUUAUUGAUGGGGGAGCAGCGGUGGUGGGAGCAGAGGUUGUGGGUUUCAAAAGAGAGGAGGAUGUUGGUAAUGUGAAAGCUGAAAAGGAAGUGGAGAAGCUUUGGAACCAUUGGGUGGUUAGAGCUAUAGAGGAUGACGGUUGGGACGAGGAAGUUGUGCCAGACAGCGGCGAGGGUACGCUGGGUGCAUAGGACGUUGUGCCAAACAAGUGCGAAGCGGAAGUUGAGGGGUUCCAAACAGGGGUGUGGGUGCGCUGGGUGCAAAUGAGGUUGCUCUGAAUGGGGAUGAAGUGGCGAAAGAAGGAGCGCCGAAUAGAAGGGACCAUUGGGUGGUUUGACCUAUAGAGGAUGAAGGUUGGGACGAGGAACUUGUACCAAACAGCGGCGAGGGAGCGCUGGGUGCAUAGGACGUUGUGCUAGACAACUGCGAAGCCAAAGUGGAGGAGGUUCCAAACAGGGGUGUGGGUGCGCUGAGUGCAAAUGAGGUUGCUUCGAAUGGGGAUGAAGUGGCGGAAGAAUGAGCUCUGAAUAGAGGGGACCAUUGGGUGGUUGGAGCUACAAAGGAUGAAGGUUGGGACGAGGAAGUUGUGCCAGACAGCGGCGAGGGUGCGCUGGGUGCAUAGGACGUUGUGCCAAACAACUGCGAAGCAGAAGUGGAGGGGGUUCCAAACAGGGGUGUGGGUGCGCUGGGUGCAAAUGAGGUUGCUCUGAAUGGGGAUGAAGUGGCGGAAGAAUGAGCUCCGAAUAGAAGGGACCAUUGGGUGGUUGGAGCUACAGAGGAUGAAGGUUGGGAUGAGGAACAUGUGCCAAACAACGGUGAGGGAGCGCUGGGUGCAAAUGAGGUUGCUCCGAAUGAGGAUGAAGUGGCAGAAGAAGAAGCUUCGAAUAGAGGGGAGACGGAUGCGGUGAAGGUGGUGGCAGGUGCGGAGGAUAUGAAUGGGGAGGUGCAAGAGCCGGAACAGAAUAAGGAAGGAGGGUUGGAGAAAAAGAAAUGGAAGUGGAUUGGGCGGAAGAGGAAGAAAAGGAAAAGCCAGUGGUGGACGUGGUGGCAGGUGUGGAGGAUAUGAAUGAGGAUGUGGAAGAGCCGGAAAAGAAGAAGAAAUGAGGGUUGGAGAAAGAGAAAGGGGAAGUGGAUUGAGCGGAAGAGGAAGAGAAGGAGAAGCCGGUAGUAGACGUGGUGGCAGGUAUGGAGGAUAUGAAUGGGGAGGUGGAAGAGCCGGAACAAAAGAAGGAAGUAGGGUUGGAGAAAGAGAAAGGGGGGUGGAAAAGGAAGAGAAGGAGAAGCCGGUGGUGGACGUGGUGGCAGGUGCGGAAGAUAUGAAUGGGGAAGUGGAAGAGCCGACUGAGAAGGAAGGAGGGUUGGAGAAAGAGAAAUGGGAAGUGGAUUGGGCGGAAGAGGAAAAUGCCGAGGAUUCAAAUAAAAAGCUCGACAUUGUUUUCUCUCUUCUGCUGCUGCUGCUGCUCUAUGUUAUUGAGAGGUUUUUCAAAUUUUGGGGUUUUUGGUUAACACAUUUCAAAGCCUUCUCUUUUCAUUUUCUGGUUGUCAAUGGCUUCAUCCGCCUAAGUUUUCACAUUCUGGAGAUUUUGUUUCACUUUUACCAUUGUAAGACUAUAGAUCAUAGAUGCUGACAUGGUUGGACAGAUGUCGAAUAAUGGUGUCGUUGCGGCCCCCACCGUCAAAGAAAAAGCAGUCCCCAUGGGCAUUCAAGCUGAAAGAGAACUCAUAAUUGUAUAAAGGUUUUGCAUCACAUUCAUAACUCGAUCCGAAAACUUCACAUCUCAGAUUUUCGAUCUGUAACUUCCAAAGAUUUACAUUAUGCUUCUAAAAUAAUAUACUAAAAUAUUACCAUGAUUCGACAGUCGGAUCUUCGCCAAUCAAAAUUCAAGUGGCAGUCAACAUUUUAUUUUGCGAACUUACUAAUCCAAUUCAGGAAGAUUCAUACGUCAAAUUCCCAAUCCGUAAGUUUCUAUGGUCCUCAAAUAUUACGUACUAUAAUGUAUUAAAGUUUUGUGCCAAUCCAACCAUCAGAUCAUCGAUUGCUAUAAUGUUAAAGAGGCAUACCUUAGAGAAAUUAUACCCAAACGAUGGAAUUUCAUUAAUCGGAUGUCAAAUAUGGAAUCAAGGCAUCCAAAUUAGCCUAGUAAGGUCAGGUGGGGUAUUAGCCUAGCGCUGCCGCACACGGCAACUGACCACCCCAACUCGUCGGAAAAUUCAACUAAUUUCAAAAAUUCUCAAAUUUUACCAGAAUGAAGAUCUCAAUUAGUAGAGCAAGUUUUAUACCUAUGGCCACACCUUAAAUCGCCACAAACCUACCGGAACCCUAGAAAUGGGUGGGUUUCAAUUCACCCUCUCCGAUGCUUUGACGUGCCAACCAAAGCUUGGGACUUGUUCCUGGGUUCAAGAGGUGCUGAAAUAUGGUAGUGGUUGACGAAAGAGCUCGCAGAAAUAGCGGAUUCCACUGUCGUGGCUUCGGAACACCCACCAUAGGGUUUGAAUGGAAAAGGAAGAGAUGAGGCCGAAGUGAUGAAUGGUGGGGGUGGAUGGUCACGAUUCACCAGAAAAAUGGCUGAAAUCACGACGGAAAAGGUGCAAGAAGUCUGGUCAUGAACCCGGUAAAAAAGGAUAUGGUGCUCCUCCACUCAAUAGCAAUUAAAUUGCUACCUCGAAAUAUUGAUCAUUUAAAUACUUGAUUGCAAUACUUAUCUGUCAAUCAUGUAUUAUGCUUAAAAUCUCUAUAUAACAUCUCAAAUGGUGCCAAACCAAAAAUUGAAAUAGUAAUCGUAGUUACAUGCAACCUUAACAAAGAUGAGUGUCUAUUACAAUCAUGCUAAAACUAUAGAACGGAUAAAUGCAACAUGUUCACAAAUGUCUGGAUAGUUCAUUCGAACUAGUAGUUAAUCUGAGGGUGAAAUGUGGUAAUACAUAAUAACUUUGUAACCAUGGUUUUCAAGAAGACUCCCAAAACUUGGAAGUGAUACACGCAUCAUGAUGAGGUACAACAAUGACAUGCACAUUAGGCAUCCAAACAUUAUAAUUCAUAUAUGUCACAACAAGUAGAUUCAUUAUGAAAAUUUCUCUCGAAUUUAGUGAAACACUGUGUCGAGAAGGCUAAAAGAACAAUCAAGAAUUUGAGAAUUAAAAUAAGUCCAUCAAUCUAGAAUACAAAGUAACUAGAUUAAUGCAUAACAUCUCACUACAAUGGUAGCUUCUAGAAUAUUCAAUCACCAACGGUAACGAUUCGCUUAGCAGAGUUUGUUGAGUGAUUGAGAAAUUAAUGGUCACAACUGCAAUUCCAAUGUCAAUGGUUCUUCUAGACAGUUUAUCAACUUCAAAAUAAUGCGAAGUGCAAUAGGGUAGGUAGUACCCAAGGUUGACUGGAAUGCCUUCUAACACAAAAGGUGAAUAUGAAAUCACAAUCAAAGUAGAUGUUGAUCAAAAUGUCAGAAAAUCUGAAAAAUUCAAGAAUGAGUAAUUUUCUCAAGUGAUCAAAAUGUAUUCCCUAUGGACCAAUGGAAAGUAAGCUAACUUGUCAAGUCGGCGAUAAUCACCGAAACAUCAUUGUAAUAUCCACAUAUACAAGAUACCUCAUACCAGGAGCUUAUGGUGAUAUUUCUCAUCUCCAUUUGGAUAUAGAAAGUGAAUAUAACCACUCGAACGAUUUCUUGAUAAUUUGUAAGUAACGUCAACCCAAUGCUCAUGAAUUCCAACUAAAAUGAAAUAGGACAGACUAAAAGCAUUUCGGGAGUAGAUAAUGUCUUUUGAUGUGGCAAACAGUAAUUACGUUUCCACAACGAGGAUGAUACACGAUUGUGUAAUUGUAGAUGUUAAUUUGGUUCCUCUAUCACCAUUGUCAGAAAUCUAUUUCUUUCCAAAUGGAUAUGUACUUGCGAGGUCUAAGAUUGAUAGAGAUUUUGGACACGUUUCUCUAUAGAGAAGUGUCAUUCAGUUUUUAAGUAAGAUGGUAACUAUUGACUCUAAGUUAUGAAUAAGAUGGUUCAUUCCAAACGGUUCUACACGUUGGGAAAUAUAAGCGAUUCUCCGUCAUGCUGCCUCUGUACAGCCAAAACAUCCAAAGAACACAUCAUCAUGGAUUUUCAAAAUAAUUAUUAUCAUCGAAAGGUGUAAAACGAAGGUAAGAUGAGACAACAAUUUAGUUGUCAGAAACUUUAUUCAUAAUCAACAUCAUAACUAAAUUAACUUUCCUCGAUCGUAAAUGAGGAAAAAACACUACAGCCGAAGGAUCGCUAACAAAUUGUCGAUAAAAUCGACAUGACCAAAGAUAUCUCGAACGUCACUACACUUCGUGUGAAUUUCAACUUUCUUCCACUAAACCCUUUUUGGAAAAGAAAAGAUUAUCGUUUACGAAGAUCACGUCUCCCAAGAAAAGUACCAAUUUAAUCAAAGUUAAUAGUUGAGCACUUUGGUAUAAAGCUGACUAUUGAUAUUUAGAGAAUUUGGUCUCACUGUCAAGGUAGAUGAAAAAGUCAUCGAUAAGACCACUAUGAAUACGUUAGGCUAUGGGAGAAAACUCAGGUUACAAAGGUUGGUCAGCUCGACCAUCAACUCGAAAUAGGGGCUAACGGUUUUUGGUCGUCACGUGAUUGAGUCGCUAAAGUCUAGGUACAACCCUAAGGUUCAACCUUUCGCCUUUACGAAUAGGUUUGAGAUUCUCUAGAUAAAGUGUUUGGUUAGAUACAGGGUCGGGCGUGUCAGUUUGGUAUUAGAGCGUGGUUUGUUCAUAGCAUACUUAGGAUCUUCUAUUAUUGUAGUAGUGUGUCGAUCAUGACGUCAUUUGGAUGUCACGACUUCCUGAUUUGUUGUCUUUCGGCACAGUUAUGCAACCCUCAUUCUGCAUGAAUAGUCACAUCUUAUGGAAGAAAAAGAAAAUUCGUGUUGGGAUUUUGCCUCAGUGUUGACGAAAUGGAUUGUUGAACAACUUUCAACAUCGAACUGAUACUCUAUAGCAUGCGUUCCCUAAGAAUUGCGAGUAGAGUUGGUGUUUACAUUGAAGUGACUAUCUAAGCCGAAGAAACUAUCAUAGACACUUAAGAGCAAGUCUUGUAGAAUGACUGUAACCUCCUAGUUGUUUUAACCAUGUUUUCCACUUAGGUAACCAAAACCUCUUCGUCUAGCCACAUUUUCGAUCACUUCCACAAGUGGACAAUAGAAUCGAAGUACAAGUUAACUUCUCAUUAUUAGAGUGAAGUAGCGUAUCGAGAAAGCUACAAAGACUUAUUAGCACGUGUCUACCCUGGUGUUCGGUAGAUAUCAGGGUCGGGCGUGUCAGCGAGUAUCUUUGACAUAAUUCAAAGACGUAGUAACUAAAGUAUGCUUAAUAGACCUCCAAGAAAUUGUGGUUCCACCAACAAUACCCAUUUAGGAUCUUGCCAUGUACGGAUCGAAUAAGUACAUAGCGUCAACAUAACCAACAAAAGCAACUCGAAAACUAGGGGGAGGGGGGACGGUUGCACUCAAAGUUGAGUAAGGAUAGGACAAACACAAGUCCACAACACUAUUAAGAUAACAUAGAGUUUUUUUAACACAUUUCAAUGUCUGCAUGUUGGCACAUGAUUGUGUUAUGCUAAGAGAUUUAUAAUGCAGGAGAUGUUAGGUCUUGUACACUGAGAUAAGUACAACAAAGCACCAAUUGCACUUAAGUAUGGAACCUCAGGUUCUAAAACUUCUUCAUCAUCUAUCUUUGGACGGUAUAGGUCUUAUUGUGCAUCAAGCGUACAGAUGACAAUGAGAGUACUCAAAGUCCACGCUUUAUCAUUAAAGCAUUGUAACAUCGUCUUGGUGUAGUUUGACUAGUUGACCAUGACUAAUGGACCAUAAUGUUGGAUUGUGAACUACCUUAGUAUAUAUGUGCAGAAGUGUGGAGGUUGGCAUAAACAUAAAUAAUCAUUUUAACAUGCAUGUUUGCGAAAUGCUGGAUUCCAUUUAAUCAUAUUAAAUUAAUUUAUGUAUUGGUUAUGUUCAUGUAUAAUAAAAUUAAGAACACAUGUAUAAACUUAGAGUACGUUUUAGAAUUCUAACCUUUAGAUUUCAUAGGUGGACGAAUUCAAUGUUGUUGAGGCUACUAAGUGUUAGCCGUCUACUAGUAUCUACACAAAUAAAUCUUCGGCUAGUGAAGCAAGAAGACAACGAUCUGCUAGAACUUUAUCUAUUAGGUAGGUGCUGCGGCAGAGGUACAAUGCAUUGUUAUGAAGUUGGUCUAUAUUGUCACGCCUCGCCCCGAAAUAUAAAUAUAUUAAAUCUUCGGCUAGCGAAGCAAGAAGACGACGAUCUGCUAGAACUUUAUCUAUCAGGUAGGUGCUGCGGCAGAGUGACAAUGCAUUGUUAUGAAGUUGGUCUAUAUUGUCACGCCCCGCCCCAAAAUAUAAAUAUAUUUCGGGAAUUAAUUAUGGUAGGCCCAACUUAAAAACGUAGUUAAUUUAUUUCCUUUAACCACAUCCCUCUAAGUCAAUAUUACUUACUAUUACAAGCUAUCCAUAUUUUCUUAAAAUGUCAAACAUAUCUUUCAUUUAACAAUUGAAUUCACUAAUAUUAGUUGUCAUUCUCCAAAUAAUUCCCUUCGUCCCACGUAGAAUCUAUAACCAUUAUUCGUUUACCAAGAUAUACAAUUUACUUUCCAAUUUAGAACCAUUUCCUUCUCUUAGAUCAAAUUCCAUCUAAACACUAAUUCUCGAUUAUUUAGUCUCACUUAUUUAUGGCUGCAUCUAACGUCUUGUUAGACUGCCUACGUACCCUAAACAAAGAUCAAGCCAUUCGUAGUUCACAAAUUCAAAUUCAAUUAAACUUUGAUAUUUCUACACAUAAUUAACAAUCACCAACUAGCUUCAAAUAAGUGUAUCACAUUAAAUACUUAUUUAACUUGAAUCCAAAACAUCAAAUUUAGCUUAAAAUACGGCAUCGGUUCCCUAGCCAUGCGUCGUCGCCGUCCUGACUUGCCGAAAAAUUCAACUAUUUCUAAAAAUUCUCAAAAAUUACAAAAAUGAAGAUCUCAAAGAGUAGAGCAAACUUUAUACCUAUGGCCAAGCCCAAUUUGGCCGGGAAACACCUCAAAUUGGCCACGAACUGCCGAAAACUCUUGUUUUGGGUGUUCUUGAUUUGUCUCCAAAACAACUUCGACGCCUCAACCAAUGCAUGGGCUUUGUUCUAGGCCUCAAGAAGAGUAUGAGAGUAGUGGUAAUUGAAUGAAAUCACUUCAAAAUUUGGUGAAUUUUGACACCUACACCGUCGCACCCACCGGUGCGUUUUACCCCAUUUCAAGGUCAAAUUUCAUGAUUUUUGGGGGGUAACAGGGUUAGGGAAGGUCAUUGAGGGUUUUCCAAGUGGUAGUUUAAAUUGAUUUGCUGGAAAAUGGGCUAAAACUCACCAAAAAUAGCAAGGAAAACCGACCGAAUCGAGUCGGGUCCUUUCAGGUCAGGGAUCCCCCGUACCCCUUUUCUCUCAUUUUCCCCCCUUUCUCCUUUCUCCCAUUGGUCAACCUCCCCCUAUUCCUUCCUUCCUUUUCUCCUUUCUAUUCUUUUCUUUCAAUCUCAACCGUCCAUUUCUUUAUUUAUUUUCAUCUCAGCCACACACGUGGCACAACCAUUGGAUCAAAUUUUCUGGAGCCUUCUACCAUAAAAUGAAAUUAUUAAAAUAUCCUUAACUUUAAACGUUAAUAUCUUCUUUGUUAUAACUUCGUUUCAUGAACGGUUUGUGCCUACACAUUCAUGAGAUCGAGCUCUAUUCAAAAAUAUAAAUUGUCACUCUGAAUAGUUUUCGGAUUUUUAAAUAAUAAAUUCCCAAACUUAGAACUUCUUAACCAGUUUAAUUUAAAACUAAACUCGAAUAAAUUAAUAUAAUUUCUUGAAAAAUAAUCUAAAAUCUCAAUCAUACAAAUACAUAAAUUAUAAUAAUUUCCGAAAAUAAAACUUUAAAAUUUUCCAAUUCUACUUUCAUAACCAUAAAUCGAUUUAUUUUCAAUUUUCUCCACAUAUUCAUAUAUUUAAAAUUUCAGGGUAUUACAUAUAUUGUAUUGGAAAAUAAACAACAAGAAAGUUCAGAUGCCAUACCCUUUAAUAGCCAUAACAAGUGUUGAAGUUGUCGAAGUUGUAGUUUUACUAGAACUGUUUGUUGUCGUUUCAGGUACAAUGUAAGGAAUAUUUCGUCAAAACUAGGUUUAUGGAUAAAAAAUAAAAAAAAACAUACCAACUCAAGCAGUAAGGAUAAACAACUAAAUUAUUCUAAACAAGUGAACUCCAAAUGUAAUGACCUGUCUCAAAAUUUUAUAAAUUUCAGAACGACAAGGGUAAAUUGGUAUUUUCACAUGUGAGAGAUAUUUGCAUGUUUGUCUCUUAUGACUUGUUUGGUGCGCCAAUGAGGCCCACCGCUUUUAUUUGGGGACUAGGAUUAUCUCUUCUGACACACCCUGACCCAAAAUAUCGAGAUGUGCUGGCAGUCACGUGAGGAUGACGUAGCCAUGCGCGUUGUGCGGAAGAAUUAAAGUGAAAGACAGUGAGGAAACGAAAAGUAAACCGAAUAAUUUACAUCAAAAGAUAAGUGAGUAAAAGUGAUGAAAAGGAAAGCAUAAAGCACCACAUCAAAGUUCAAGUAACCUAGGUGCAGUCCGGAAUAAACAAGUACUGAAUAAACGUUAACCAAAUAAAUCCUACAUGGAUGAUGCCUUGUUAAAACUGUCUCGAUGCCUCGCUCGCCACCAACGUCGCAACUACCUAAAACUUGGAGCGGCGCAAAACUGAAAACAUGAGUGGGUAAAAACAAAGUUUUUCCAAAACCGUUUCAAUAUCAAAAUAGUAACCCCUCUCCCUAUACUUUCUCAGAAAAUAUCAUCCAUACUCAAAUAUCAAUCAUGCUGGAAAACGAUAAAUCUCAAAUAUGCCAUGUUAGAAUACGACAUGUCGAAUUACCCAAUCAAAACAAAAUAAGUAUCAAGUAGGUGAGAUAAAUCAAAUCAUAAUAUGCCGCCAAUCUCAAUACGUCAGUUGGAGUCACCUAACGUGAACUGUACGACUGAAUAUAUAGCUCCUCAAUCACUAUCUUGCACACGAGUCGGAACCACCUAUAGUGGUCUGUACGACAGGCUGGGUGUAUAAUUACGCUCAGUGCUACGAUCACGUGAAGGCUGUGCAACGUAUCACAAGUCACCUAUGAGUCGGAACCACCUAUAGUGGUCUGUACGACAGGCUGGCACCUGCCUUGGGUCCAAGGUGAGCGUACGGUGCGGGAGGUGAACGAUCACGUGAAGGCUAUGCCGUACUCUGGCAGAGCACAAACACCGGGGUGCAGGAAUAUGAGCUAUAUCUCAAUCUCAUCAUCAUCACAACUAUCACUAACAAGUAUACUCACCUGACUUACCUGAGCGACGCCAAUUCAUAACCAACAUAAAUCAUAAUAAACAAUAAUGAUAUUCGACAUGGCAUUUCAAUUAUAAAACCAUUUUAAAACAUAAUAUCUGGGAAAAUAUCAAAUAUAUAUAUAUAUAUUCUGAAAACAAAAGCCCACUCACUGAUAAGUAGAAGGGUCUUAGCCCCCGAGCCUGGCAUGGCUGUGCUCGUCUUCUGGAUAAGCCUUACCUAUAUGUGAAACAACUAUAAAACCGUCAAUUAAACGCACAUAACCAACCUUAGGUAAUAACUUCUCAUACAUUGCUCAAUUGGAGGUGUUUGAAUCUAACAACAUGCUUUACUUAAUCUCAGAACACCCUCAUAUUUUUAGAAAAAAUUUCUUGUCACCCACGCGUAGGCACGUGCCUGGCACACGGACGGAACAGUUAAUGCCGUAAGGAAUAUUUUGUUAAAAAGUAACAGAUUCCAUUAAAUCUAACCUGACACUGUUAGAAUAUUCCAUCAAACUUGACGGAAUAUUCAUCGUCUCCUUCCUUGAGUCACGGGAGUCCGGCGCCGGUCGCCGUCUGUUUGCGGGUUUCUGGAAAAUUUUCAAAUGUUGAUAUCUCAGUCAAAUCUUAACUAAAUUUCACGAAAUUAACGUCAAAAUGAAGCUUAGGACAAGGGGAAGAAAUCUAUACCAAUUUGAGGUCCCAACGAUGCUGGAAUCUCGCCAGAGAAAUCUCGAAAAAUCUGAUCAACUAUAGAACUCAAGAUUUCGACAUCCAAAACACGUCAACGUUGCUCCCCAAGCUUCGUGAAGACGUCUAGAAACUCCCUGUGAUCUUAGAAUCUCUAAAAACCUCCUCAAUCACGAGUGCAUGAACAAUACCUUUAUUGGAGCUUUCAGGUUUCAAGGGUUUUCAAGGUUUUCAGGACAAACCAAGGGUAUAGUUGAACUUGCAAGGGUGCAAGGAGAAGCAUGUAUAUCCGUACUUAGGGUAUGGAAAAUAGAAGAAAAAUCGAGAAGGAGGGAGAGACAGAACCAGAAACAGAAAAGGAAGAAAAAGGGGUGCACGUGUGCAUGUGUGUGUAUAAGUUUAACCAAUCACACCAAAACUAAGCUCAAGUUCUAAUUGGGUCCAAUAAUUUGGGAUAUCACCCUAUUGGCCCAAUGUAGCUCACACACAUAACCACAAACACGUAAGGGUAAAAACGUCAAUUCAUGCCGUCGAUAAAAUUAUUUCGGGACGGUCUGUCACAUCCUCUCUUUUUUCACCCCCUUCUUUAAUAUUCUUUAUUUUGUAUUUUUUUAUAUAAAUAAAAUAUUAAUAUAAAAUGUAAUCAUGAUCUAUUUGAACGGAAAUUGGAUGGAAAAAAAAAAGAUGAGAGACUUCUCAUUUAUUUGGUCUCCUGGUCCUCCCUCUCUCUUCCUUUUCCCCGUCACUCUCCUCUCAUCUUGGACUAUCACACUCUCUAACUCUCCCGGCCCUCAUCUCUCUCGCACGACCCUCAUCCUCCUUCAAAACCCAAAAAACUGGCGAUUCCACGGAACUGAAACCAAGCUGAAGUCCCCAUCCUUCUCUGUUCCCCCAUCAUCACUGUUCUCUCCUCCCUCGGAACCCUGCAACAUCACCAUCGCGGCAGAGCCGCCUUCUCCGGCGAGUUCGUCGAUUUCCCGACUUGGGGUAAGCCUCGGGAUGCUUAAGAUCUUCAACUGUUACUUAUCUUUUUGUCCUAUUUGCUGCUAAUGAUUUGUAGCAAGAGUUGAUUUUUAACUGUUUCUAAUUGGUAAUGGAUUAAAGGAAGUUCAUUUACUAUUAGAGGUGCAUGUGAAAGUAAGCUUGAUUCGUAACCUCGUCGAGCAUUUGGAGCUCGCUUUGACUGAGGUUUUUCGAUUUGAUGUGAUGGCGUAUAAGCUUUUCUCAGUUUCUCGGUCAUUUUAAGGGUGACCAAGAUUAUCUCUGUGAGCAAUGUUGAGGUUAGGGAUUGGAAGUAAAUGAAAAGGGGUGUCUUUUCAUCAAAGGCUGAGGCCAAGAUUAUCUUUUGAGAAAACUUUGAGGCCUUACCUAGAUUGCAAGUCUCUGUUAAGUUCCAAUUGACGAAGAUGUUUAAAACUGUUGAAAUUAUACUGCCUUAAUUGAAAGGAGGCCUUACCUAGGAUAAUAUCUAGCUCAUUCGGGGUCUUUUUUUGGUUCUUUAACUACAUGAAAUUUGCAUUGAGAUGAAUUCUUAUCCUGAAUGAGUACAUGUGAGAAUCACGCGUGAUUGACGGAAAAUUAUGAAAUAAGAUAAUGAAUUCCGAAGGCUGGGUGCUCAGCUGGAGAUGCGGAUAAACAAAGAAUUAUAUGUUGAUUUGAAAAGGAAGACGUUUAUAUUGUUGAUUGGAGUAUAUAUGGCCGAUGAGAAUAUGCUAAACCGAUAGUUGCUCCUUGUAGGUUGCGGGGGAAGUGGUAACAUUAUGUGUUCAGAAUGUGGUGGCCGCGGGUAUCUAAGAUGACCAUACCGGUUCGCUUAUCUUCCUUGAAUUUGUUGUAUGUGCAAGUAACUUGUGUUAUAGCCAUGACGCUUUCCCUAAUUUUUUGUGGCUGAUUCCACGAUGAGUUAAGUGUAACAGUAAUGCAUCUGAUUCAUUUACUCUUCGAAAUGGUGUUCUUCCUCAGAUUUAUGUGCCAUUUAUCGUGUUGAAUGUUCAGAACCAUACAAUUACCACAUAACAAACACAAAGGAAACGAAAAAACUUGAAACAAAAGUUGACAAACAAACAACCAACGACAUAAGAAAACAGACUGCAUACUUUUAUUUAGACCAUUUUUAGUACCCUCAAAACUAAUUGGCAAGUUAGUUAAUCCCCAUGAGUGACAAUGCUGUCCAUAUUCUUGGCAACUACCUCCUUAGAAUCCCUCAGUUUUCUUAUGCUUUUGUUAAGCUUCUCACGCUUUACUGCCACUGCCGGGGACUCCUCCAACAUCCUCUCAAUUCCCCCACCGUAUGGUCCCAUCAACUCAUUCACAAUCUCAGCUUCCAUCUCUUUGUUCACAAGGUUGAAAACAGACAGCUGCAAGUGCAAUGCCAUGGAGUCCACAAGCCUCCUCAAAACAACCUUCCAAUAGGCAAUCAUUCUCAUUUUAAGGUCAUAAGCUUGAGCUAAAACAUGCGGGUACUUCCUCAGAACACCGACUUCGACUUCCCCGAUGCCUUCUAUAGCUAUGACAGACGGUUUCUUCCCAUCAGUUAAGACUCCUUGAAUGAAUUCGUUUUGACUAGCCAUCAACUUGUUCCAUUCGGAAACAUAAUCAGCAUCGCAUGUAUAAUCUGUCACCUUUUCCAUCUCUACAAGCUCCAGCAUCCACUUGAUUGACCUUUCCUUCAUCUUGGCCAUUAGAUUAUGGCCGGCACGCCUUGCUGACAGCUGCAGCUGAUAAUAGUUCUCCGAAUUACGCAUCAAGACAGAAAUAACCGCCUCUUCAAUGUAGAUCCACACUCGUUCCACAAAUGCAAUCGGAAUACUUGAAAUUCCAUUCACUUUUCUCUGCAAGAUAAUGUGGAAAGCAUUGCGCGGAAGAAAGUUCGGAAGUGAAAUACCUUUGUUCUCCUCCAAGAUCUUGAUUUCCUCCAUCAAGAAGUUGCUCUUUGCAUCACUUUCAGGACAUCUGUGAAGUUCAUCCGAGUACUGGUUGAGCAUCUCAACCAAUCUAGCAGUGCAGUGCAUGCGGUUGUCUUCCGCGUACUCCUCAAAUUCUCCUCUCAAAAGGAUCUUCCUAAGCGAUUCCUUAGCCAAGCCAAUGAUUUGCAUAAAGGCCGUCAUGGCCUCAGCAACAGACGAAAGACUCUUGGGCAUUUUAUUCAGUUCCAUAAUGCAAAAAUUCAGCCUGUCAUUGAUCUUCUUCACUAUAUCGGGUAAAUUUUUUGCCAUGCUGUUUGGGCAUUUUAUUCAGUAGUCAAGGUAACGUUCUGCUAUGGUUAACCACCCGUAAGGGUCCUCGCCAUUAAAUCAUGGCAGUUCCAUUUUAAUAGCUUUAAAAUGUGAAUGAGGGUUCUAGGGAGGUGGGUUGGGUAAUAUGGGAAGGGAGGGUGGUGAGGAGUUGGGUGCCGUGGAGGGACUUAAGUGGAAGGAUUGUGAGUGUGAUAAAUGGUAGGGUUGGGGCUGUAGCGGUGGGAAUGGGGGUGGGUGAAGUGGUGGUGGUGUAAGUGGAAAAUGGGGCUAAGCUCGGGGAGAGUGGGUAGGAAAUGCCCAGACUUGAGGAUUGAGCACUGAAAGGCACAAAAAUUAAACGAAAUCAAGGGGAUGGGUUAAGGUUAGAGGGACGAGGACCGAGAAAUGAAGUGGUCUGGUGUUGAGGUUGAAUGGGGGUUGAAGAGGGGUUGGGUGUGUGGUGGGUGGCGGUGUGGGUGGAGGUUUGGGAGGGUGGAGGCCCCGAUUUGAGGAUUCGAAGUUCGCCAAGCAUUAGGGAUUGAAAAGCUGCAAACUGUGAGGUUAUAUUGUUUUGAAAAGCUGUGUUGGAGGUGUUCAAGGUUUCGAGAGAUUUCUGGAGGUGGGUUUGUUGUGUUUCCAGGGCGAAGAUUGAGUCACACAAGUCAUCAACUUGAGUUCGCAGGUAUUUUUGACGAACAUCAACCGCAACAGUGACGGCGUCUGGAUCAGAGGUGGCGGACUGCAUGUUUUUGCCCAUUAAAUCGACGGGCUCUGAUACCAAUUGGUAUGCCCAAUCGGUUCAGGUUGGCUGAAAAUGGCAACUUUAAUACAAAAUAGUGCAGGAAUUUAAAAGAAGAAAGGGAAAGAAGAGUUUGAGAAAAAAGAGGCAACUUUAAUUCAUCAUUUCAUAGGUUCUUUCUACUCUCCUUUGUUACAAAUUUAUACUCCUCAUAAAAGGAAAAAACCCUAGCUACUUGGACGUAAGGAAAGAAGGCUGGUACGGCCCGGUUACAAGAGGAGAAGUAGUGGACUCAAGUAAAUGGGCUUAACAUGGUGUCGUUGGGGCCCCACCAUCAAAGAAAAAGCAGUUCCAUGGGCAUCCAAGAGGAAAGAGAACCCACAAUAGUAUAAAGAUUUUGCGUCACACUCAUCGCUUCGGCAUCAAUCCUUUUCCCUCCUUGCCGAUGUUCUUUAUAUUUUACUUUCUUUCUUCAUAAGUUGUUUGUAGAUGACAUGUUCUGAGAAUCUCUUGGGUGUCGUAUGCGUGCUACAAUACUCGUUUGUGUCAAAACACACAUAAACAUUAUUCUUUCCGUUGAGAUUUAAAAUUAAAAGUCUAUAGACACUUUUUGGUGAACUCGAAUUAAGGAAUUCUCAUUUUAUGUGUUAAGUUUUAUGCGGAUGAGUUAAGUGAUACAAAUUCAAAAAUUACUCUACAUUUUAAGCUGUUGUUUUUUUUUAACAUUUAUAAGCACAUAUAACUGAACUAGGACGCCACACAACAAUAAACCAAUUUUGUAUAAAUCAUUGUUACUUGGAGAUUAAGAUUAUGGCACCAUGAAAUAUUAAAUAGUUUUGCAAGAAAAAAAAGAACGUGGGAAAGAUGACAGGGCUAAAACAAUUGAGACUACAAUUUAGGACGCAUUGUACCACAUCUUUAAAAAAAGGUGGAAUUUUCUUAUAUUAGUGAACCCUACUUUUAUUAAAUAGUUUUCAAUGUAAUUUAGUAAAGUAUAGCCUCUCUAGCAUGAUAAGCCUAUGAGUAAUUAGCAUUUGUAGACAUCAAAUGCUAAUGAGAAAAAAAAAAAUCUAAUUUCAUCCUAUCCACCUCUAUUAUAACAUUUAUGUUUCAAUGCAUAUACUAAUGAUCAAAAUUCAAAUUUCAAUUGUAGAACUGAACAAAAUUAAAUAUUGGUAACAAAGCAAUAACAUCUGAGCUGUGAAAGCAAAGAGAAAAGUACCACGAUAUAAGAACUUGCGUCACAAUCAAAGCUUCAACAUCAAUCUGUCCCUCCUUGCCAAUGUGCUUUACAUUUUUUUUUUUACUUUCUUCAAAUUUGUUUGUAGAUCACAUUCUUUGAGAAAAUUUUUAGUUCACUAGUUUUGUCACGUCACUUGUUCUUUUAAAAAAAAAAAGAUUCUUUCGCAUCAUCAGUUCAUCACACUACAAUCAUGACUUUAUUGGAUGGAUAACAAUAACAAAAACAAAGUCUUAUUCUAAUAAGUGAGGUCGGCUAUAUAAAAUGUCACUGCAUUCAGUUUUGCUUCAUGUUCAUUAGAUGAAUAAUACAAUUUUUUCAAUACAUGACCAACUUUACAAAUAUUUUUGGGAAGUAACAUUUACACAAAUUAUUUAGCUUCUUUUUUUUUUUUUUGACAAUUGUGUGAGAAACUAAAAAAAGUGAAAAUAAAAUCUACGACGCUAUUGGAACUAAUUUUUUAUUACAUAAAAAAGUCCCUCUGCCUAGUAAAAGGAGGAGAAUGUGACAUGAUUGCUUUUAUUCAAUCCACAUUCUCCCCCACUUGACCAUUUCAUGAGAAAGGAUCAUCCUCAAAUUCCUUCCAUCAAAUUCUUCCAAUUAACAAAUCUGGACCCUAAAAAUUUAAUUUAACGAUUAAAGUUAGUAUAACUUUUUAAAGAGAUCUCAUGUUUUUAACCGUUUGAUCAAAUUUUAAAUGCUUAAAUUUGUUGAUUGGUUAGAUUUGGUAAAAGGGAUUCGGAGAGGAUCCCUUCCCAUUUCAUAAGUUGUCUAAAUGCUUUUGAUUCCUUUUUCAAAUUGAUGCUAGGCCCAAGAAACAAAGCAACACUAGACUAGACUAAAAACAACUGCCGUACGUUUGCCAAAAAAAACUAAUAACAACUGCCGUACAAAAGCAAGAUAAAAAGAGAUACAAGGGAGAACAUUCUCCCCCACUUGACCAUUUCAUCAACAAUGUUGUCUAAAUGCUUUUUAUUCCUUUUUCAAUUUGAUGCUAGGCCCAAGAAACAAGGCAACACUAGACUAAAAACAAUUGCCGUACAAAAGCAAGAUAAAAAGGCAUACAAAGGAGAACAUAUAUAUAUAUAUGUGUGUGUGUGUGGGUAUGUAUAGAUCAGUUAAAAUGAUAACCUUUCUUAGAUAGAACUGAGCAUAUAAACCAGCAAAGGUAAUAUUAGGGAAAUCAAAAUUUUCAACCAAAUGAUGUGUCAUUAAUAGGAAAUAAGCACGUUAAUCAACACAAAAAUAAUAAUUCAAUCAUCAACAACCACAUCAUUUGGUUUGCAAAUUUGGUUUAAAAAAUUUAGUCUCUCUAGAAUUAUCCAACCGGCAAACAAGUUUAAUUAUCUUAGACAAGUAACACUAUUUACGUAUUUAUUUUCAGGCAAUUACAACUUUGACAUCAAAAAGAAGAUUUAAGGAAGAUGAUUUUCUUAUCAGUUAGAAUUUCUACAAUGCGUGUCUCAUUAUUUACCUAAAUAAAUUUUUAUGUCUGUCAAAUUGGUCAUGAAAGCUCACUAUCAUAUUAAUAAGCGGUAAUGAAAGCAGAUAACAUGAGACAAAAAAUAGGAGUUAACUGUAUGUAGGAGGAAAUCGCAUUUAAAUUUCAUUAAAAACAUUAAACUUGACAUGGAUUACCACAACCAUACGACUACGGACCAUCACACAACAAGAACACAAAGGGAACAAAAGAACUUAAAAACAAAAGUUGACAAACAAACAACCACCCACAUCAGACAACAGAAAGCUAAUUGCCAAGUUAGUUAAUCACCAUAAGUGAUAAUGCUGUCCAUAAUCUUGGCCACCACCUCCUUCGAAUCCCUCAGUUUUUUUAUGCUUUUGUUAAGCUUCUCACGCUUUACUGCCACUGCCGGCGACUCCUCCAACAUCCUCUCAAUUCCCCCACCGUAUGGUCCCAUCAACUCAUUCACAAUCUCAGCUUCCAUCUCUUUGUUCACAAGGUUGAAAACAGACCGCUGCAAGUGCAAUGCCAUGUAGUCCACAAGCCUCCUCAAAACAACCUUCCAAUAGGCAAUCAUUCUCAUUUUAAGGUCAUAAGCUUGAGCUAACACAUGCGGGAACUUCCCCAGAACACCGACUUCAACUUCCCCGAUGCCUUCUAUAGUUAUGAUAGAAG
rnacentral:lncRNA from 1 species